rnacentral:lncRNA from 1 species
UUGUUAUGGAUGAUGUAUGAAACGAAGAUCCCAAAGUAUGGGAUGAAUUGAAAAGUUUAUUGUGGGGAGGUGCUAAGGGAAGCAAAAUUCUGGUAACCACACGUAGCAACAAGGUUCCUUCAAUAAUGGGCACGACAAGAGGUAUUACUGAUUACAACUUACAAGAGCUGCCAUACAAGGACUGCUUGUCCUUGUUUAUGAAAUAUGCAUUUGGAGAAAGGCAAAAGAAACAUCCAAACCUCAUAAAAAUCGGGGAAAAAAUUGUGGAAAAAUGUAGAGGAAAUCCUCUGGCAGUGAGAACACUAGGAAGUCUAUUAUAUGGCACAACAGAUGAACAUUAUUGGGAGUAUGUGAGGGAUAAUGACAUAUGGAAGUUAAAGCAAACGGCAAAUGACAUUUUACCAGCUCUGCGGUUAAGCUACGAUCAAUUAUCGCCUCACCUGAGACAAUGUUUUGCUUACUGUUCUAUCUUUCCCAGGGAUUAUGAAUUUACAAGUAUUUUUUUUAUUCAAUUUUGGAUGGCACAUGGUCUUCUUCAAUCCCCCAAUGAGAAUGAAGAACCAGAAAAUAUUGGUAUGCAAUACUUGAAGGAAUUACUGUCAAGAUCUUUCUUCAAAGAUGUUAGGACCUUGCCGAAUGCUUCAAGCUUCUUUGCAAGAGAAUCAAAGCAUGCAAUCAAUAAAAGAAUAUAACCUUAAGAUCAAUCUAUGAAACUACAAUCACCAAGAAUAAGAAAGAUAAUGGCAAGAAGAUGUAACGUGGUUUGGCCACAAAAAGCCUACAUCCACGGAUGAAACAGUACUUGAUAAGUGCAUAUUUUCCAUAUAUUUUGCUAUUAAUUUCUCUAUCUUUUUCUUGUUUUGGUCUUAAAUAUUCUAGUUAUUUUAGUUAAUUUUUAAUUUAGUAAAUUAUAUUUUAUUAUGUUAAUUUUUAUAUUUUGUUAUUUUAGGUGCAUUUUGGGAAUAAAGAGGAAUUAAAUCAGAAUAUUCAAGUAAGGAGAGCUUAAGGAAGAAACUAAUUAGAAAUUUAAGGAAAGUAAUGGGAGUUAAAAUGGAAGAAAAUCAAAGCAGCCAAGGCCUAAUUGAAGUUCAUACGUGAAGAUGAGAAGAAUUAGCAUUGGAAAUAAUUUAAUUAAUAAGGCAAACACAUUCUUGUGAUGGGCUUUGGCCAAAUUGUUAUUGGCUUAUUAAUUAAAUAAGUCACGUGCAUGGCAUUGAAUUAUGGAAAGCAAAGUGAAACAAAAAAAGGAAAAUGGGCUUGCACGUGAAUCCAAAGAAAAGUAGCGGCUUGACUUUUGUCUUUAAUCCUUUUCAUGUGAGGAUUUAAGGCACAAUAUAAAAGAGGGCAGAUGCAAGGAGAAGAAAAAAAAAAAGCCAACAGCCGCUGGAUGGACAAUAUAAAAGAGGGCAGAUCCAAUUCGGCAGCCAAGAGGAUUUGAGGAACUAGCAGCCGGAAGAAGGAAAAGCAAGGGAGAAACCGAAAAGGAAUUGAAGAAAAGGGCAGCCGCUUGAAUUAAUCUCCAUGAUUGGUUUUGUCAAUUCUCUUAUUCCCAAUUCAAUUAUGUUAGGCUAAAUUUUUAUUUGGUUGAGGGUGAAUUCAAAACCCUAAACAUGCUAUGCAAUUAAAUUUAAAUUCUAUCAUUCAAUUUAUUUAAUUGAGAUUGUUUAUGUUCUUCUAUAAUUAAUGUUCACGUGCAUCUCUUGUAGCUUGAUCCUUGAAAUCUGAUCUUUUCUUUAAGUCUUUGGAUUCAAGAUCAUUCUUGACAUCCUUCAAUGUGAGAGUCUGUCUUCCAUAGAGCAAGGUAUCCACGAAAUGUUCAUAGGAGUCAGGCAAAGAGCUCAACAAAAUAGGAGCUCUAUCUUCAUCUUCAAGCAUGACAUUAACGUUUUCAAGAUCGAGUAUCAAUUUAUUGAACUCAUCAAGGUGGUCUUUCAUGGCUGUCCCUUCCUUCAUUCAAAACGUGUAGAGCUUCCUCUUCAUGUAUAAUCUUUUAGCCAAAGAUUUCUUCAAGAAGAGUUCUUCCAGUUUAGCCUAUAAACCAGAGGCUGUCCUCUCUUUGGCUACUUCUCUCAGCACUUCAUCAGACAAGUGUAGAAUGAUAGUGCUGUGAGCUUUGUUGUUUAUUGUUCUUGAGUCUCCACUAAAACUUGAAGAUCCUUCUUCCUUUUCCCUUUUGGACUUUGAUUCUUCUUCAUCAUCAAGGGCACUAUCCAAGCCCUGUUGAAUCAGAAUGGCUCUCAUCUUAAGACUCCACAGGUAGAAGUCAUUCUCACCAUUAAAUUUUUCAAGAUCGAAUCUUGUGCUACCCAUUAUGCCAGAUCAAGAACAGAGUGUCCUUCUGGCUCUGAUACCAAUUUGUUAGGACCUUGCCGAAUGCUUCAAGCUUUUUUUCAAGAGAAUCAAAUCAUGCAAUCAAUAAAAGAAUCUAACCUUAAGAUCAAUUUAUGAAACCACAAUCACCAAGAACAAGAAAGAUAAUGGCAAGAAGAUGUAACGUGGUUCGGCCACAAAAAGCCUACAUCCACAGAUAAAACAAUACUGCUCUAAGCUUUUAUUAGAAUGAAAAUGGAUGACAACAGGUUAUGAGAUUACAGAGAUAUUAACUCAUCAUAUAAGCUCUAUAUCUUACUCAAAGAAUCUCUCACACGUUCGUUUUGAAGAAUAUCCUUUUGCUGCCCUUUUAUAACACCUCAGCUAUGAAAGAGAAACGUCAACUGUUAUUCUUAACUAACAGUUUUAACAGCCAAAAGAACUCAUGCCAGCUCAGCAUGCCACCUCAUUCAUGUUAACAGAAUAUAACUACUUUCUGGCUUCAUAAAAGAUUUUACUAAUGAUCAGAUGCUUGAAGGAUUUGAGUUAUUCACUUUCAAAAUGCACAACCUCAUCCAUGAUCUUGCACUGCUAGUGGCCAAAGGUGAAUUCCUAAUGCUGAACUCUGAUUGUCAAUCUAUUCCCAAAAGAGUCCGUCAUUUGUCAUUUGUUAGUGCUAGUGCAUCAAGAAAUGAUUUUUCAAGCCUUUUAUCUGAUUUACGUCGUGUAAGAACCAUUUUGUUUUCAAUUAAUGAUGAGAAUACAAGCGAAUCAUUUUUCACGUCAUGCAUCUCAAAGUCGCAGUUCCUGAGAGUGUUAGAUUUAAAUGACUCGACUAUUGAGGUUUUGCCAAGAGAGAUAGGUAAUUUGAAGCACAUGAGAUAUCUUGAUCUAUCAAGAUAUUGUCAAAUCAAGAAACUUCCAAACUCCAUUUGUGAGCUACAGAGUUUACAAACACUUAUACUUCGCGGAUGUUUGAAGUUAGAAGAGUUGCCUAAGGAUAUAAGGUACCUUGUUAGUCUUAGAAUGUUUGUGGUAACCACAAAACAGAAGUCUUUGCAAGAGAGUGGAAUAGCGUGCUUGAGUUCUCUUCGCAGUUUGAUAAUUUCUCAUUGCUGGAAUUUAGAAUAUUUGUUCGAGCAUAUAGGUCAACUAAGUGGCCUUCGAUCAUUAAUUUUAGUUGAUUGUCCUAGUCUAAUCUCAUUGCCAUCAGCAGUGAAGUGCCUCAGCUCAUCAGAGACUCUGAUUUUGAUUGACUGUAAAAGCCUUAAUCUUAAUCUGAACAUAGAAAUGGAAGGGGAAGGAAGUCAUCAUGAUCGUGAUAAUACAAGGACUCACCUCCAGAAGCUUUUCGUUUCGGGACUAAAACAGUUAUUGGAUUUGCCUCAAUGGCUUCUUCAAGGUUCUACUAAAACUUUACAGUUCUUGGGUAUUGAGGAUUGUCCCAACUUCAUGGCACUACAAGGGUCUCUGAAAGAUCUCGAAGCUCUUGAAACUCUUCUCAUUUCUGCUUGUCGAAAAUUGUCAUCGUUGCCGGAGGAUAUACAUCACCUCACUACUUUGAAAACAUUGUCCAUUAAAGAAUGCCCUGCGCUCUGGGAAAGAUGCAAACCGCUAACAGGUGAAGAUUGGUCCAAGAUUGCACGUAUCCCUCGGAUUAUGCUUGAUGACGAGAUGACUAAAUCAAGUGAUAAUUAGGUAUGGAUUGCUUUGUAAUUUUUAAUUUCUCAUUCAGCUAUACCGUUUAUAGUUUACUGUUCUGUUAUGUUUACUAAACAAAAACUCAUUGAAUGUUUAGUUAGUUAGUUCAAAUUUGUACUAAAUAAUUUCUAAUAUAUGAUUAGUUUGUUAAUACAAACUCAAACAUAUUAUUUGGAAACAAAACCGUACUUGGGGUUAUACAUGUUUCAAAAUCCAAACGGUUCAGGAUUUUUGAAAAAGGAAAUUAUAAUGAGAUAUUUUCUUAAUUACGCAGUUAUCUUCAUAUGGAACCUUAUUCACAUAAAAGGAGAGCUUCUGAAAUUUCAAUCUUUGUUAAUAUUUUAACUCGCGCCGAAAUAUCUAACAAUUUGUCCUCUAUUUUCUCUUCUUUUCUUUUCUCUUCUUUUUCCCCAAAUAUUUCAGCUUUCUUCGGAGAGGCUCAGCCAAGCUGCAGAGACAGUGAAAUUAUUACUGCAACAUUGUUCAGAACAGAGGUUCAACGGUUUUAUUGUUGUGUUUAAAAUUAUUGAUGAUAAGUACGUUGAGUGAUGUAUAUAUGUGUGCCGGUGUGAUCAUUACUAAUAACCUUAAUCGUAUGUUUUUAAUAACAAUGAUGUUCCAGAAUUUCUCAAAUUCUCAUAGCGCACAAUUCGUGUUUAUGCUCGGUUUCUUUCUCCUCCCUCAGUAGUCAGUAAUAUAAUUUGCAUUGACUGCAGUUUUUAGAUCUACACAAUCUGCUGAUUUUUUUGAAGGAUAUUGAUGUGUUUUGUAAUGGAAUGAUGUUGUUUGCAUCUUGUGCUUUGUGAUUGAUGCCUUAUAUUUUCCCAAGGAAAAAAAAAAGAAAAAGAAAAAGCAAAUAGGCUUCUUGAUUUUAUCUAUUCAUUUUUGAAUGGUUGCAUAUUAAUCAGUAGAAGUUGGCACACUAAUUAGAUAUUGCAUUUUGGCCUUGAAGAAGAAAGUUUAUUUUUUUUGCAAUGCUUCUUUCUCUGUAUAAAAUGACUAAUUGAAAGAAUAUUUACUAUAAUAGAACCUGGAAUUUCUAUGUAUUUUAGGAGGAAAAUUUAUUAUACUACCACAUCAUCAUAUUACCAUUCAAUGAGUACAUGUUCUUCAUUUUCUUCUAUCGAGUUUAAUUAAGAACUUUAUCCCAUGGACUGCAUUAUUUACUGUCUACAAUCUGCAUUGAUUGACUGCAUUUUGAGGUUCUUUACAAUUUGUAGAUUAUUUUAAGAACAAUUAGCUACUGCCGUGUUCUGAUGUAAUGUCGGUGUCUAGUAUGCUUUUACCCAAGAUUGAACUAAUUAGAGAGAUGCUGGUACAUUAAAUUAUCCAUUUUUAUUAAUUUAUUAAUAUUGUAUUAAUGUAUUAUAUCAAAAUAUAAGAUACUUAAACUUUUAAAUACUAGAAUCUUGGAACUUGGAAGGCAAUUUGAAUUUUGAAACGGCACCGUUUCAGCUCAACCCACUAUAUGUGUGUGUAUAUUAACAUAUUUAUGACGUACAGAUAAUUUGAUUGGUCGAUUAAUAUAUGUAGUUAGAAAAUUCUAAUCAUUCUGUUAGGUUACAUCACAGUUAUUUCAGAGAUUAAAGGGUUUCUGAAAGCUAUUUUUGUUACUAAUUUCUUGGUUAAGGUUCAAGCAGAAAGAACGGUAAAUGAACCUUAGUUCCCCACCUUUUUUUUUUUUUUUUAUUGCUAAAAAUUCCCCAGGUUAUUGAGUCUAUGUUAAAGUCCCUUGUGUACUUCAUCCGAGUCAAAAUUAACUAUCACAUUUGCGCAAUCUUGGCAUAAUAUUCAAAGCAGCUGAGCAGUUUAUGCAGCUAUUUACUUUUCAUCUUAUUCACUUCUACAGUCACGCAGGUUUUAUUUAUCUAUUUAUUUCUUUUAUCUAAUAAAGGAUGGAUAAAGUUUAAAUCAAUUUUAAUUUUCAGCUCACGAUUCGAACUCAGAAGAGCAGCAAUUAGCUUGAAAAAUAAAAAUCACUCGGCUAAAUGCCUGGGGCAAUUGUCACAUAGGUUGAAUUAAUGAAAAGAUGCAAUAAAUUUAUUAACAACACAAGGUUGAAUUAAUACGUCACACUCUCUCUUUCAUUAUUAAUCAGCCUAGAGGAAAAAAAAUAAAAUGACAUCUCACAGUCCUGUCUAGUCAAUGGAACCCAAUUUUUUGAGACGAGCAUUGCAUCUUCUUGAACCACCCAACAUCGUCCCUGCCGUCGUGUUUGGUGAAAAAUCAACCUUUAUUUUCUCACACGAGGCUUUGAGACGAUAUCUGGUGUCUGCAGUCUCCGCAAUUGCGUCAACUUCGAUCGUAAAGUUCACAGCUCCGAUUGACGUCCAUUCUUCAACAAUGGCAUCCGCAACAGAGGAAUUGAUGCUCGCCGAGGCAACAUCAACAGUCGCAUUAAUCAGCGUCGUGUGCUCGUGCUCAAAAUACUUAGGAUAUAAAGUAACCAUGGAGGAUAUAUUUUGCUCCAUGUACGAAAGUGAAACGUUAACAUCUCCCAUAGCCAGGGACUGAACAUAACACCCAUACAGGCGCCUGCAACUCUCAGGAUUUCCAACAGAGAAUAUAACGCUCCAAUUGGCUGUUAUACGACUAGAAUUAUUCGAGAUGUUCAACUUGAAUGGAUGUACACUCAAUGAAUCAACUCUGAACAUUAAAGGUCCGCCAGAGUAUUCUUUUCCAAUAAAGAUAUGGAGACUAAACCAGAUUGCCAAACAUAAUCCGAAGAAAGAGCAGCAAGCUAGUAUGCAAGAACAGAAAAGCUUACAGCAACUAGUAGCAAAGUCCUCGUCCAUUGUCGAAGAUUGUCCUUCUGCACGUUGAUUCCACGUAAUGACGAGAAUUAACAGAUUCAAAAACUCACCUUUGGAGACUGAAAUAUUAUUGUUAACUAGAAUCAGCUACUAAGGGCUACAAAAGAAAUCUAUUUAUAUUAUUAGCAAUUAUCCUGAAACAUUUAGGAAAAGGGAAAAAAAUUUCCUACUAACAAUAAGGAAACUGCAACUAAUCUAAAUUGCGAUAAGGAAAGCUAGUCCUAAUCUGUGUCAAUAUAUCUAUAGAGAGAGAGAACAAAAGUGGACGAAGGUUUAUUAAGAUUGUUGAGGAUUUAAUUUGAACAAAUUGAAUGUUGAUUGUUCAAAUUUUAAACAAAUUUGCGAUACUGAAUCUGAGUUUUGAAGAACAUCAAUUAUACAAUUAAAGUGUGUUUGGAACAUGGGAUUAUAGGGUAUUAAAACAUUAUUCACAUUAUCUUAAUACCAAUACCAUUGGAAAGAAAAUGGAUUAAAGGGGGUGUGCUAGUGUGGCAACUGCCGCAUUAGUGUGUUUUUUUUAAAUAAUAAUAAAUAAAUAUAACUUUUUAAUUCAACGUAAUAUUAUACAAUAUUAAUUUUUAUUUUCUUUUAUUUUUACAUUAUAAUUGUUAAUAUAAACUAAUAAAUUCAUAAUUUUAUUAUUCAUAUUUUAAUUUUUAUUAUAUUAAGAAUAUAACUAAAAUAAUAUAUUAUUUAAUUAUAUAAUAAUUAAUAUAUAAAAUUGAUUAAUAUUUAAUAAGUUAAUAUAACUAAUAAAAGUACUUAAAUAAUAGAAAAAUAAAAAUAUAACAUAAUAUUACAUUAUGAAUAAAUUUAAAUAAUAUUAAUUUAAAAUUAAUACCAAUAUAAAUAAUAAUAUAAAAUAUUAUUACAUGUACUAUGGGAUUCUUACUUGGAUUAUUUAGCACAAUUCAUUUUAUUGGUGAAUAUGUUACAACUAUUGAAUCACUUUAUUAUUUUGUGAUUAUCUUGUGGUAUAUAUAAACACUUUUAUUCUAUCAUCCUAAGAUAACUUUUAAACUAAUCUUGUAGGUUUUAACCAAUUUAAUUAUUAUUUAGAAAUUAUGUUCUUAAAUUAUUUACUUCGAUCUUUAUUUCACAAGUUAUAUAUUAAAAAAUACUCAAAAAUAAAUAUUAUGCUGCCGAAAAUGUAAGGCUAUAAGCUUUGAUCUUUAUGAAAAAUUUCUAAAAUUUAAGACUUCUAUAUUUAGUAUUUCUCUACAUACUAAUAAAUAUUAUUUUCUAAAUAUAUAAUUUAAAUUAAUCACAAAAAAAUUAAUACAAUACAAUGUAGCACCAAACGUUGUACAACAUUAUUAUAAUAUAGUGCUAAUGUAAUACAAUAUAAUACAAUAUACUUGUAUUAAAAUAAUACAAUACAAUAUAAUACAAUACAGUGUGCCAAAUGCACCCUUAAUACAAAAUUGAUCCAUUUCUUUAGAAUCGUUCAAAAUCUUUCAUAUUAACCCUGGUCUAAUUAAAUUCUUGGAACCGAUGACAAGCCUUUGAUGUUUUUAGUCCACUUAAUAUAUAUCUUAUAAAGAUUUUAUAAUUUAUUAAUGGGAAACUAUCAAUUUGUCAUUUAAGUUUUUCAGAUGAUAUAUCAAUUUGAUAAAUUUGUAAGAUAACACAUUAUAAAAAAAAAAAAACUCUUAUAAUUUCUUAUACCUUUAACAUUUUUGAAAAAAUAAAUACUUGUUUUGGAAAAGGUAGAUAAACCACAUUAGUUUUACUUGUUUAACCAAAAUACAAGUGAGUUAGUUCAUAAAACAAAAAAUUUAAAUCGCUUAAUUACAACAAAAGAACAUGAGAUUAAAAUUUUUAGGAAAAUAAAAAAAUAUCUUCAUUAAAUUAAUAUUUAUUAAUUAAAAAAUUUAUAAUUUUUGAUUAAUUAAUAUUCAUUUAUUUAAUAUAUUUUUUGUGGAUGGUUCUUGAGUAAUACCCAAAUAUUUUUAUCAUAAGUGCUAAGGUGGUACACACGCCCAUUGAAUGAACAAUUUCAUGAUUAAUUAAAUUAUCUUUUAUUCCAUUUGAUUAUCUAAUGAAUGAAUAUCACUUUAUUUAGUAUUGUAAUGGUUAAGAUAUUGCUUGAGAAGUAUAAUUGUUCAACUAAGUCAUAAGAUGGGCAUGACAGUUCUUAAGCAACUUUAUUUAAUUAGCCACCCAAAUUUAAAUCUUGAAAGAGGUUAACAACGAAAAAUUAAAAUAAAAAAGUCAUGAAAAUGAGCCAUUGGAGAGCUUGAUGCAUUACUUUUAAAAAAAAAAAAUUCCGCCUUUGUAAUAACCUAAAUUGUCUCAUAUUUUGUUAGCUUUUUUCAUAUAGUAACGAUAUUGGUUACAAUGUAGGGAUAUAUAUGAAGUUUGUACUUCAAAUGAUGUAAAAUGAUAUGACACUUGAUUUGUUAUUUAUUCAUUGGUUUUAUCAAAUUUGAUUAGUACAAAAAAUCAACUAUUAACAAUAAUGAUUCAUAAAAAAUAAAAUAAAAUCAUUAUUAAUGAAAGAACAAAUUCAAUUAAAAUUUUUAAUUCAAAAAAAUUAAAAUACAAAAUGUAAUUUACGCUUACCACUUACCUCCACAACACGCGUGAGUCACGUGAAGUGUAAACAAAAACCAACUUUCCCAAAAUAAAAGCUCGAACAAUUAGUUUCAACGGCUAUAUCUUUGACGCCCUAAUCCGAACUCAUAACGGCUAUUUGCUGGUGCUUAAACUUUAGGCACCGAUUGCAUGAAUUUUUCUUCAUUAAUAAACUUGUUGAUACAGCGCCCGAAUACACUACUUCAAAGAGAUUUCACAGCGAUUAUAUCGUUGAGCCAAAUUUUAGAAUCAACAAAUUAAACUUAAUGUGCACUUAAGAGAAUACGCACCUGGUUUCCUAAUUCCAUUCGAAUUAGAUAUCUAAUGACUAUAAUUCCCCCAAUAUCCUACUUCACAUACGACAACGCAACACCACUUGAUUUCCAAGUAACUGAGAGAGUUUCCAAAUUCUGCUUUUUUAUCUCUUCAUUCAUUCUUUCCAAUCAAAUUUACCCACCAAAAGUCUUCCUAAUUCCAUCUCUAAUUCUUUCAUUUUAAAUCUUGCUUUCUGAUUUCGUGGACAAAACAACAAAUAUGGCUCAAAUUAGAGAUCAACAAGAGCUGUUGGAUUAUGCCUCUUCAAAAAGAUGACACAAUACCCUCUUCUCCAUGAAGAUGGGUGAUGGUAUUCCCAUAAGAAAUUGCGAUCUUUAUGUCUCUAACGAGCCGCCUAUAAUUUGGAGUUUGUACGGAGGAGACCAGUUACUUGAGAAUCAAGCUUUCUACUUUUUCACUAGGAUGAAGAAACUAUCCCCAAAGACUUCAAGAUUUACAUAAAGAUUGGUUCUGGUGUGUGGCAGGGAAAGGAUGGAGCCAAGCCUGUUCUUUCGUGUGGCUCUGUUGAUAAGAUUUUAGGGUUCAAGAAGAGGAUCUUGUAUCAAGGUAGUAAAAACCCUAGAGAAGACAGAGGAUGGAUCAUACAUGAAUUUACUAUUAAUCCAGCUUUGUUGGAGCAGCAAUAUUCGCAUAAAGCCUUCAACUUUGCUCUCUACCGCAUCAAAAAGAAUGAAUCUGAACGGCAAGCAAAUGACUUUGAUCAGCCAUAUUAAUCAGGAUGAUGAGUGCUUUCAAAAUAAGCACCUAAGAGCUUAACAAGCAGCAGUUCUGGUUCAACAUAACCCACUCACCAUGUUUAGGCUUUGCCAGUAGUGGAAUAUGAAGGGGAAUUCUGAUCUCACUAUUCCUUUCUUUAUUUUGAUCCGAUUUUAGGAAGCAUUAAAUUGAUUGCUGGUGUAUGUAAACAGUUUUUUUUUUUUUUAAAGGAAUGUUUUGUCAGCCUAGUGGUCCAACCUGCUUGAAUCUAAAUUAGUUGAGACACAAUGCAGUUUUUGAAUAGCAGAUGGUUUAAUAUUCUAAAAAUAAAUAAAUAAUUGCAUCCUCUCUUCCAUAUUGCAAAUAAAACUAUGGUUAGGAAAGAGCUCCUUCUGUUUCUAUAUGUGUUCCUUAAAAGGCGUUGCUUAAAGUUAAGAACUUGAAACUAGGCAUCUUCAUGUUUAACCCAAACAAAUUGUUUCUAAGAUCACCCAUUGCUUUUAUUCAAAAAAAAAAUAUAAGGUCUAAUCAAAUUAAUUAGGUCUUGGUUUUUUUUUUUUUAAAAAAGCAAUUUCACAGCUGAGAUUGCAUUAAAGAAGUCAUUAGGAAUCCAAAUUUUACAAGGAAAACAGAAGGUCUAUACAAUUAGAACGGGCUUAUUAUAUAAUAAUUAAUUUUUGUUGCAGAAACAAUAAGCUUUCGCAUAAUCCAGACUACAAACAAAUCUCAUUAGCUAGCACGAGAAUAUAUCCUAUCUUUUGAAAGGAAUUAAUAUUAAUAUUAAUAUUCAUCAACAAAAACUGGCUCCUGGAGAAAUUAAUAUUAAUAUUCAUCAACUAGACAGCAGUUAGUAAUAAUAUUCAUUAACCAAUGGUUGAUAAACUUAUUAUUUGCUUGUCAUUUCUUACUUCAAGUACCAUAAAACUUCAAUAAAUUAAUAGGUCUUGACUUAGGACCAACAUGUGAUUAAUUGAUAAGAUAAUACGUUAUUAAAAAAUUAAGCAACAUUAAUAAGAUAAUUCAUAAUUUAUAUGAUUUUGGAUUCAGUUCAAUUUAUAUGCUAAUAGGCCAACAAAUAGAUGUUGAAGAUUCUGUAUUUUUUAAACAAAAAUUUAGGCAAUAAAUCAGUAUAAUACAACAUUCGAAGAACCGCAACUGUGAUUUAGUAAAAUCCAAUUGUUAUUUCAUCCAAUUAAGAAAGAAUUAUAAACUGCAAAGAGUGCAGUAAACCCUCCAAACUAAUCAGUGUUUGAGCUGUAAUCUUAAAUGAUUAUAUGCACAGAAUAAUUUAGAGAACAAAAGGAGAAAGUAAAUGAGAUUCUGAUUAAAAUUAAUGUUCAUGAUUAUAUUCAGGCAGCACAAAGGUCGUCCAUAAGAGAAGGUUAGAGCAAUCAGUGGCUGGUGGAAUGUAUGGUGAUGCUGAUCCAGAGAUUGCAGAGCAUGACUGAAGAGCAUAAUAAACUUGGUGGUUUAGCUAGUAGCUUGGCAAACGAGUUAUGAAUUAGUUAUGCUGACUAGGGAAAUUGGUUAUGACAGAUUCAGUGGCUAUUAGCGGCGUUUGUAUGAAGAUUCUAGAUAAAUCUCGUAAACAGAUUCUUAUAUGUAACCAUCAAAGUAUAAAUACAGUUGCUUGGAUUCAUUCUUGUACUAUGCGGUAAAAGAAUGGAUUCAGAAUCUAUUCCCUUUCAUUUUCUCAAUAACCAAACAUAGGAUAAUCAGGAGGAAUUGCAGCAACUCCUCAAUCCUUAGUAUUUCUUCUGGAAUCCAAUGAACAACAACGAUUACCUAGGAGCAGCUUGCGAAUUUGUGGCACCAAUUCAGACAUGGUAUCAGAGGCAGCUCCUGCUUCAAAUCAAAAGAAUACCUCUUGUAACUUUGUAAUACCAAUAAAACUCGAUCAAAGCAACUUUGUUGUUUGGAGAACACAAGUGCUUACUUCAAUCAAAUGGAAUGGUACAGAAGGAUUCAUCACUGGAGCAAAUGACCGUCGCGAUCAGUAUCUUGUUCAAGAUGCAGAUGCUAAUAGCCCCUCCAAUGCGGGAUCUGAAUCAAGAAUUGAUAAUCCUGCUUUCUCAGCUUCGAUCGGGACAGAUCAACUUCUUCUCAGCUGAAUGAUGUCUUCAAUUCAAGAGAAUUUGCUCUCUUCUGUCAUUCAUUGUGUUUCAUCUCAAGAGUUGCGGGAUUCCUUGACACGUGUGUUUGUUUCUCAAACUUAAGCUCGUACGAAUCCAACACCUAUGGCUGCUUCUCAUCAUCUUACAAGAAAUUCAGGCAUUGUUAUUGACAGUGCUUCUCAAUACUGGAGCAUUGUUGGAGCUCUGCAAUUGCAUUAUAGUUAGUGGGCCAAAGAUUGCAUUUCCUGUCAUCAAUUGAGGCAGUUUCUUUCUAAUCCUUCUGCUGAUCAUUGGCAAGCCUGCAAGAGGUUAUUAAGCUAUCUCAAAGGCACCAUUCACUUUGGCUAAGAGUUCUAUCACAAUGGUAAUAUGCAGCUAAAUUGUUUCACAGAUGUGGAUUGGGUUUGUGAUAGAGAUGGCAGAAAAUCUGUUGUUGGGUAUGUUGCGUUAUAAGGUCCUAAUUUGGUCUCUUAGUCAUGUAAGAAAUAACAUGUUCUUUCUAGAUCCAGCAAUGAAUCUGAGUAUGGGGCUUUAGCCUUAACUACAUCAGAACUUUUAUGGAUCCAGGCUUUACUCUUGAAUUGCGGGUCAAAUCAGAUGUUAUGCUUCUCAUGCGGUGUGAUAAUCAAGGGGCCAUUGCUCUGGCUAACAAUCCAGUAUAUCAUACCAAGACUAAACAUGUUUCACUGGAUAGUCAUUUUACCAUAGAAAAGGCUUCAGCUAAGCACCUUGAUAUUUGUUUUGCUCCUAGUGAUGAUCAAACAGCAGUCAUUUGAACAAAAGCACUCAGUUAAGGUCAAUUUCAUUAGAUGCAGGCUAAAGGUUCUUCCUGGACGAUUUAGCUUGACAGGGGAUGUUGGAAUAUAUGGUGAUGCUGACACAGAGAUUACAGAGCGUGAUUGAAGAGCAUGAUAAGCUUGGUGGUUUAGCUAGUAAGUUAGAAAAUCUGUUAUGGUGACUUGGCAAGUUGGUUAUAACAGAUUCAGUAGCUAUUAGCUGUGUGUGUAUGAAGAUUCUAGAUAAAUCUAGUAAACAGAUUCUUAUAUGCAACCGUCCAAGUAUAAAUACAAUUGCUUGGAUUCAUUCUUGUACCAUACAGUUAAUGAAUAUAAAUUCAGAAAUUUUCCUUCAUUUUCUCGGUAACCAAACAUAGCUUUAGCUUAAUUCAAACAGUGGCUAUGGUAAACUUGUAAUAGAUAACACUUCAAAACAUUGAGAGCCUAUUAACAAGCUUUCCCAAUUGACUUGAACAAAAAACAAAGAUAUUGCAUGGGAAAUAUAGGCAAAGUGACAGAAAAUGCAUGGACAAAACUCACCGUUCGAGAAUGAUCCAAAUUCUGGUAUUUUUGGUUUAGUAACGUGGCAUCGGAUGGACCACCCCGCUUAGUGUAGCGACUACUGCUUAGCAAGCUACUUUAUUGUUUAAAUCUAACUUUUUGCAAAGUAUCCACGUAAAGCUUUAUUGUUUAAAUAUAACUCUUUGCAAAAUAUACAUGUAAAAUUAUUUAUUUUCUCUUAGUUCCUAAAUUAAAUUGAAUCUCGUCUUUACUUUUGUGCAAAGCAUGCGCUGGAUUUUAUUUUUUUAGUUAAUGUAGAAAUUUUUUUCUCCUUUCAAAUGAAAACCCAUGAAGCAGAAUGAAUUGAAACUAAAAAUUAGAAAAUAAUUCAUUGAAACUUGAGAAUACUUUUGUACAAAUAUUUCUUGAUAUUAAAGGCUUGCGCAAUAGUAAUGUAUAUGUACAUAAUUGCACAAACUGAAUUAGAAAAAAAAAGAUAUUGAUAAUUAUAAUUUUAUUACCUAAGCCAUAUUGUUAUGGAUAGUAGCUAUUGGACGGUAAGAAUGUACAUGCACCAAUAAAACUUGUCUUAAAAAAAAAUCUUCAUUUAUCAAUAAAUUAAUAAAUUAUUCAUUAAUUGAGAUAUAAUUAAUUUUGGUAAAAUAAAACUUUUUCAUAGUACCGACAAUAUUAUUUUAUAAAGAUUAUAAAACAUAUUCGACUAUUUUUAAAAAUCACAAAACUUUUAAAAAUAAACUUUAUCAAAUAUUUAGUUGAUGUUCUUCACAUCUGAUUAUUCCUAUGACACGGUUAACAACAAUUAUUAAGAAUCUCAUCUUGAAAAUUGUUAUGAAAUGAAAUCAAAAUGUUUUUUUCUUUUCUAAAAUGAACAAAAAAAUCAACUUUGUUUCUAUUUUAAUGACGAAUAUGUUGUACUAACAAAACAAAAGAACUAACUUUUAUGUGAAUUGAAAAAGCUUUAAAUGGGAAAUAAAUACGUACUAUAUCCAAAAAAUCUUUAUUAAAUAUACUUAUUUCCUAAUAAACUAUAAAACUUGAUCCCUUUAUUUGUUUUGACUUAUAAUGACAUGAAUGUCAAAUAAAUAUGUUUGAAAUAUUUUUUAUUUAUGAAAAUAAAAAGAUGUCAUUUAUAAUAGGAUAUUAAAACAAGAAAAACAAACAUGUCAUUUUGACAUCUGUAUUUGGACUCAUUUGGACUAUAACCAAAUUCAGACAUAUCUAGAUUUUAGACAUUAAAAAAAAAAGGCUAUAAGAAAAGAAAAUUAGUGUUGCUAUCGUCACUGCCUCACUCACUUGUCGUUGCUAUCAGUCACUAGGCACCCAUUGAAUGCGCCAACGUGAAUCAGUGUAUUUGUAUCAAACCCCCUCUAUACAAAAUUUCUGAAUCCCCCGCUACGUCUCAUAGUUUAGUAAUCAGAUGACCUACGUCUAAUAGUUUAGUAAUCAGAUGACCUGUCAUUUAGAAUGAAUCCUUGAUAGUUCUACUGUUUGUAAUGCUGUUGCUUUUGCUUUGGACUGCAAGACUAAUCGGACUGCAAGGUUAAUCGGGUGAUUAGGCAUUAUCUUCAUUCGUAUUCGGGGUUAUUAAUAUCCAAUUGAUAAAGAAUACCACAACACGCUUAGUUUGGUUUUUGUGUCACUACUUGCGUUAGAUAUUGGUAGUCACUGGCUGCAGAUGUACAGGUACCCAUUCUUUUCCCUGACAUAAUUCAUGUGACAUGAAAUUGCUUGUAGAACUGGAAGAUAUUAGAUUUUUUUUCCCUUUUUUGCUAAAGAAAAGUAUUACUUUCGUUGGGAAAUGUGCCUACCACUCUGGAUCUCCUUUGUAGUACAUUCUUGAGAGGAAAAACUAGCCAUGAAGAUGUAAAAGAUAGCACAAAUUGGCUUUUCAAAGCCUAUUAUGGGAACCGGAUGUUUAUGGGUUAUUGUUGUGUGGCUUUCGAGGUAAUUGUAGCUUUCGGUGUUAUUAUACAUAUCAGCAUUUGCAAAUGUUAUCAGUACUUUUUACCUGAUCCAACCUUUUCAACCCUGCAGGUUCUUUACCUAAUCCUAUUUCUUAUUGCGGAGAAGCAGUGUGAAAGUUUGGUGGAUGUAGGUUCUCAUUUUCUUACUAUUAGAUUGUUCUGCGUAUGGAAAGAUUUCCCUUGUUUCUCGGUUUUCAAACAAUAUCUUCUUUCUGGCUGUGGUGACUGGUGAGUGCUGCACGACAGGGCUCGCCUCUUUCCUUCCUCGUUGCUUUGAGUUUAUUUGGAUGGGCAAUCAAGCAAAUGAUCAACGUCAUACAGGUAACUUGCACUCCAUAUGAUGGAAAUGUUUGUUUAUCCUGAUACUUUUUGACAAUAAAUAAAUUUCUUGAUGUCCAAAAAUUAAGGAAACUUUUGUAUCUGUAAAGUUGACAUUUUACAAUGGCAUUAUGGAUUCUGAAGUUGAUCAGUUUUAGACUCACAUGCUAUUAUAUGCUUGAAUAUUAAAACUCAAACCUUAUCUAUCUUAAAUGGAUUGUCGUGGAUAUGCCUGAGAUGAACAUUUUCUUCCUCUUCACCUCAUCAUCUUUGUCAUGGUAGUUAUAAUUGAUUGAGGAGUGUUAAAACGCAUUGUGAUGAAUGAAUGCACUAGCUAUUGUCAAUGCCCCACCAAAAAGGGCAAAGGAAAAUGAAGAAAGAAGACAAAAGAGGAAGAAGAAAAAAAUUGAGAGGAAAAGAUGUCAAGGGUAGGCACCGGAUGUUUGAAAAAGAAAAAGAUAAAUUCAAAGCUCAAAAUUUCAAAGUUUGAAAACUUGAAAUUUGCAGCUGUAUUACUUGAAGAUUAAAGCCACAUUUUUUACUUUCUUGGCCAUCAUUUUGCUAUAAAUAGAAGUGCAAAUGAAGAGCUGAAGCAUUUCAUCGAGAGAGAAGCAUUUCCUUCCUUUAGAGUUGAGAGUAUUUUAAGAGUUUUAACAAACUCUUGAGUGAUUAGUGAUUUGAGAAUUUUGGGUGUAUUGGGAUUUUGGGUAGUGAGACAAAAUACCAUAAUACUUGUAACUCAUUUUCCCUAGUAAAAUAUUUUCCUUCUGUUUUCGCCCGUGGACGUAGGCUAAACGCCGAAUCACGUAAUUUCUAGUGUCUUCUAUUGUGCUUGUUCUUUAUUUUCUUCCAAUUUUAUUUUAGCUGCGAUGCUACUUCACCCACCAAUUUCCUGACAGUGGUAUCAGAGCUAUUGGUUAUAUUUUUAGAGUCGGGGGUACUGUUCACGUAUAUGGUAUUGUUCACGUAAGGGGUACUAUUCACGUAUACAGUACUGUUCACAGAUACGGUACUAUUCACGUGAAACGGUGGGAGCGAUCCAAGAAUUUUACGGUGCAAAGCAGGGAAUAAUGUUUUGAGUAAAGCAACUGUGCGAUUUUGUAUAUGUUUAGGAAAGUUCAGUAACAAAGGCGAUAAGAGCUUAAGGAGUCUGGGUUUUAUGUGGGAUCAUUGUGACCCCUCCAGUCUUUCCUGGGAACGUUCCUGGUGUGCAUUCUCACACACACUCACAACUAUUCAAGGUGGUGCACUAGCUUGUGUGCGGUAGUUAUCAACAAAAUGGCAGCAAAGUAUGAAAUUGAGAAGUUUAACGGAAAUAAUUUUUCGUUUUAGAAAAUGAAGAUGAAAGUUGUAUUGAGGAAAAAUAAUUGCUUGGCAGCAAUUGGAGAAAGACCCAUGGAGAUAACUGAUGACAAGUGGAACGGGGUAGACGACAAUGUCAUUUCUGAUCUACACUUGGCACUUAGGGAUGGAGUAUUAUCCAGUGUGGCAGAGAAAAAUACAGCGAAGGAAAUUUGGGAUACUCUCACAAAAUUGUACGAGGCCAAGUCACUACACAACAAAAUCUUCUUGAAAAUGAAACUCUAUACUCUUUGAAUGGCAGAAUCUACAAUGGUGACCGACCACAUUAACACCUUGAAGACUCUAUUUUCACAACUCACAAUGUUGGGUCAUAAUAUAGAGGAAAAUGAACGUGCAGAGCUUCUACUUCAAAGUCUACCAGAUUCAUAUGAUCAGUUCAUCAACAACCUGACGAACAACAGACAAGCAAGUUCGCAGCAAGCAGAGGUGCUAUCGGUGACGAGAGGGAGAUUAAUGGAACGUGGCCCCAGUAGGAGGCAAAAUCAUGGUAGAUUAAAAUCUAGAAGUAAGAAGAAUGUUAAAUGCUACAACUGUGGUAAGAAAGGGCACGUCAAGAAAGAGUGUUGGAGUAACCAGAAGAGAAGAGAGGGCAAAGAACUUGAGUCAUCAAAUGCUCAGGGGUGUGUAGCAAGUAACUCAGAUGAUGGCGAAAUUCUCUACAGCGAGGCAACAACUAUCUCAGAAGGCAGAAAACGACUAUCUGAUAUCUGGCUUAUAGACUCAGGAGCUACCUGGCACAUGACCUCUCGGAGAGAAUGGUUCCAUACAUAUAAACCUAUCUCAAGAGGAUCUGUAUAUAUGGGUAAUGAUCAUGCCUUGGAGAUCGCUAGUAUUGGUACUAUCAAAAUAAAAAUAUUUGAUGGUACAAUUCACACAAUUGAGGAGGUACAACAUGUCAACGGCCUGAAGAACAAUCUAUUGUCUUUGGGAUAAAUGGAUAGUCAUGGGUACAAAACUCAUGUGGAGAAUGAAAUAAUGAAGAUCGUUAAAGGCGCGCUUGUAUUGAUGAAGGCAGAAAAGAUUGAUGCUAAUUUAUUCAUGCUUAAAGGAGAACCACUACAGGAGGCUGAUGCGUGUAUCACGUCAAAUGGAGAAGAAUCAACGAUGAUGUGGCAUCUCAAACUUGGAAUUUGCAGCUGUAUUGCUUGAAGAUUAAAGCCACCUUUUUGACUUUCUUGGCCAUCAUUUUGCUAUAAAUAGAAGUACAAAUGAAGAGCUGAAGCAUUCCAUCGAGAGAGAAGCAUAUCCUUCCUUUAGAGUUGAGAGUAUUUUAAGAGUUUUAACAAACUCUUGAGUGAUUAGUGAUUAGAGAGUUUUGGGUGUAUUGGGAUUUUGGAUAGUGAGACAAAAUACCACAAUACUUGUAACUCCUUUUCACUAGUAAAAUAUUUUUCUUCUGUUUUCGCCCGUGAACGUAGGCUAAAAGCCGAACCACGUAAUUUUUGGUGUCCUCUAUUGUGCUUGUUUUUUAUUUUCUUCCAAUUUUAUUUUAGCUGCGGUCCUGUUGCACCCACCAAUUUCCUAAAAGCUAUGUCAUUAAGACUGCAUUUAUUAGGUUGGUGCCACAAAUAUUAGGCAAGAUAUUCACAAUAGUGCUACUGAAGCUUUAUAUGGAAUAAGGAGACCAAACCUCUAUAUGAUAAAGUGUUGUAUGAAUACCAAAUGAAUUGUAAGAGGAUAUGGUUAAUUUAGAUUGCAAUUUAAGAAAGCUUGAGUUCUAAGAGCACAGAAAUGGGAUCAGUCUUGCUCAAGUGUAAACUCCGUCAGUUAGGAAGCUGUCCAUCAAAUGCAAAUAUUUAUGUGAUUGAGAGAAAUUUUGGACUUUUGAUGAAAACAAAAUCCUGCAUGCAUUUGCUUGCCCCCAAGGAGCUGAAAGUUCUCAAAUUGUUUGUAGACGUAAUAGUUCUCCUGAUCUCAUUUGGCUUGCUAAUCUUUUUUGCUCGAAAAUUUGCCCAUUGUGUGGUCUUGACGGUGGGUGAAAUUGAUUUGUGGUUUCAGAUGAAGAAUCUGUUCGUGGUUCUCCUGCUCGAGUGCCUACUUUUCAGUGUGCAAGCAUAUAUGUUGAGACCGGCAGAUGAAAUCACUAAACUUUUACAGUUGAUCUGAGGCUCCUCUAAAGAAGGAUUGGGAUUUUGGAAUUAAUUUGGGGAAAGGGUUUUUUUCUGGUAUAUGAGUGUAAGCAUUCCUUCAAUCACGUAGCUUUGUGCCAUUAACAUAAUGGCAAUUCUACAAUGGGGAUAAUGAUAAUUUUGUGAUUGGGAACUCUUUACUGGUUUUUCUUUCGCCAUUUGUGUCUAUGAUUAAGGUUGUUUAAAGUGUUAUGGGUUUUAAUCUACAACCAUUGCGAAAUGGACUCACUAGCUGGCAAAUAAUAAAACAUAGUGCUGUCAAAUUUUGUAAGGAUUAUGCAUACACACUCUUUCGUCUUCAAUGCCCUGAAACUGGGUAACUACAUGUAUGAUUUUCAUUCAGAAAAACUGGCGAGAACUAAUGACUUUGCAGAUUAAAAAAUAAGUAGGAUUUUCAGAUUAUGUAGCAUUGUUAUGUAAUGCCUUGUGGUUUUUUUAAGGUUAAAGUUGGUUUGGAAAUUAAUUAAAAGACGAUAUUCAUUCUAUCAUGACGAGUUUUUAACAAGAGGAAAGGUUCCUUUCAUAAUUUACUAAUUUAUACAACCUUUAAUAUUAAAACAAAAUUUUAUAUAUUAAGGAUGAUGAUUCUUGCUCACUUAGUAAGAUAUGUACAUAACAUAGGUUUGUUAAGCAAGGAAUCAAUUAUGUAUUUCUUGUAUCUGAAAAAAUGAAUCAUCCUUUAACGAGGGUUAUCAUCAAUUGCAGGUUUCUAGUUUGGUUGCUUGGUUUGAGGACUAUGAAUAUUACAUUGUCAUAACUAAAGGAAAGAAUAUUGUAUACACAGCACACUAUAAUUACCAAUUCUUUAUCUUAUAAUAUAAGUUCAUAGUGAUUAAUUUGACCGUCUUCAGCCAAAAAAAAAAAAAAGUCCCAUUUCAGCACAAAUACAAGAGCCCUCAUUUUUCUUUGCUCCGGCCAUUUUAUAGCAGUGUCAUCACAGACACCUCAAGCUCUACCGAAUCAUCAUAGACAAUUCGUGAUUGGUGGGAGCAUUACAAGAAAGGUACGACAACUUCAAACUGAUAGAUUUGUUUAUAUGAUUUAGCUAUAGUUUUAACUUUUAACAAUAAACAAGAGACAAUCAUGUACAUCGUUAGUUACAUAAAUGUAGAUACUAAUUUAUUCCUGUACUUGCCAGAUCCAUACAUAUAAAAAUGAGAUAAAUUUUAAGGUUUAAAAAAUUUCAAUUCAUCAAAAAUCUAGUGCCAUAUUAAGCGGUAAAAUCACUUAGAGUUAAUACAAGAGGUUUAUGAUUCCCCAACCCGUUUAUAUGUAGGGGUGGGGAAGGUAUUAGGUAAUAAAGAAUUAGUAAAAAUUAAUAAACAUAUUAUAAAAAGAAAUAAAUUUCAAGAGGGAACGUAAAAGAUUGUAUGUAACUUAUCGUUAGUGGAAUGGAAUUUUUUUGGAGAGGCUAUAUUUGGCUUGGAACAUAUGUUAGAACAAGGUUAUUUGAACCCACCACACUCUCCAAAAUCCACUUCUCAAUAAAAAAAUUUGGGUUAUUUCCACCUAACCCCCAAAUCUUUCAACAUUUUCCACCUUGCACCCAAACUUUUCAACAUUUUCCACUGGACACCCAAUUCCGUUAAUUUGACCGUUAUUUUUAACGGAACUAUUUGAAAGUUAAUGAAAUGUCUGAAAUACCCCUUAUCUUGAAUUAGAAAAGAAUUAAAUGAGAUAAAAUAUUUAUUCAAUAAUUAAUAUUUACAUUAAAAAUUCUUAAUAAAAAAUAAUUAAUAAUAAUUUCAUUAAUUAAUUUAUAAAAUAAAUUUAAUUUAUUAUUAUUAAAUAAUAUUUAGGGAAUAAAUUUCCAAAUUUGCCCUUUGACCGUUAGAGUAAAUAGUCAAAUUAACGGAUUUGGGUGUGGAUUGAGUAUUGUUGAAACAUUUGGGUGCACAGUGGAAUAUGUUGAAACAAUUGGGGGCAGGACGGAAUUAACCCAAAAAAUUUCAUUACAAAAUUUUUCUUAAUUAAAUUACUAUUUUAACCAAAUAUUAUGUUAAUUUAUCUCCCUAAAGCUUUUAUUUUUUUCACCCCUUUUUCUCUUUUCCUCUCCGUCUCCCCAAUUUUUUUUCUAGUCCUGUGUGGUUCUUAUACUUUAAGGCUUCUAUUGGAGUAAAAUCUCUAUUGAAAUUGCUUAUCCAAAUUUUUUUUUUUAAUUUGCCUUUCCUUUACCCUCGAGUCACUAUUAGAUGUAUAUGCUCGUGAUGAAACUUUAGUAAUUGGAUUUCUAUUAAAUAUUUUAAUUUAAAAAAAAUGAGAAGAUCACUAUAAAAAUAUCAAAAGAUCACCAACUUAAUUAUAGCAAUAAUUAAAGGAAUUAAAAGACUUACUAUUUCUGUUUGAAGUUAUUAUUAUAAAGAAAGAAAGGGAAAAAAAGAGUCGCUGCAAUUGCAUCAAUUGAGGACAUGUUAAGAAAAGUAUCAUAGAAAGUAGUGAGAGAAACAACUAAUGAAAAUUAAUGAUACUUAUUGAGGGUAUAUUGGGAAUAUUUGUGGUUUUUUGAAUGAAAAAAUAAAAUUUUAAGUUGUGAUAAUGUGUUUAUUAUAUAAAUGGGUUUAUUCAGCAUUACAAUGGGUUUAAAUGGCUUUAUCCUUCAUAUUAUAAUAAAAUUUUAUAUUACUAUAAUAGCCGUAAUAUAGAGGACAAUGUAAUGAAAAUAUUGUUACUCUUAUACCUAUUAGAGAAACAAUAUAAUCUUGUACAGACAAGAACACUCCAGUGCUCAAGUGUAAAAGUUUUAGUAAAACGUAUAAGAACUGUUAAGUGUAAACAGAAUUUCGUCAAGGUGCUGUAAUAGAAUCUAAUGCUCUUUGGUAGUGUAAACUAUGUGUGGCGCGUGUAGUAUUUCAAUCUUCACAAGUGGCAUUGUAAAUAGUGGCUCUUAUUUCAGUUCCUCGUAGGCACUCUAGAGACAAUUGAGCUUCGAAGCUAGUAUUUGGUCAUCACGUGUUUCUUUUAAUGAAACAUGUGGUUCAUUUUAUCCUUAUACAAGAGCAUUUUGUGCGGAAUAACCAUGUCAAAUGCUCAUUUAUCAAGGACACGUGUCGUGUUCUCAGAACAUAGUAAAAAUAUGAUACGCUAACCCAUGUACAUUUAUGGAAAAUCAAAUGAAAACAAAGAACUAAAAAAAAAGUUCAAAGGCUAAUUAAUAAUGUUUGAGUUUGAGAUGAUUAAUAUUUAAUUUUAUGGUUGUAAAGAUAAGAAUAAAAGUAGGUCUAGUGAGGACUAUACUCAUAUUAUAACACUAUUUAAAGUAAACUUUGUUAUAAAAGAUUUUAUUCAAUUAGGUACAGAGACCGUUCAAACUAUAUUUUAGUAUGUCUCAUAAUAGGACUAAAAUUGGUCAAAUCAACCUAUUUCGAUAAGAUCCAUCGAAAUUAAUAUUUAAAAGAUUUAUCAUCUCAUUAUACAAUACACAACUUUGCCAUCUAGUAGAGAAUGAUUGGUUGGCACACCAUAGUUUACAUAGAUAUUUCUAAUAUUUGAAUCAUUUAUUAGGAAAUUUUAAUCCUACCAAGAUCUUGUAAGUAAACAUAUCAAAUAAAUAGUAAAUAGAUAAUAUAUAGAAAAUAAAACCAAUCAUACAACACAAUAAUUUACCGGAGAAAAAAUCCUAUAUUGGAGAAAAACCACGGCCGCCAAAGAUGACGAAAGAAAAAUCCACUAUGUAAAGAUCAUUACAAUCACUCUAGUAUUUUCCUCACAUACAAAACCCCAAUAACAAAUAAUCUCUUAUUCUAGAAACUGUCUACUUGUAUAGAACUGAUUAUUGUGUUAUGCAAACAAGUGAAUCUAACCUUCUUAUAUAUUGUGAUUGUUUCAUAUAAGAGAAGUAUUUAUUUCCUUAUAUAAUUUGUAUUCCUCCUUUAAUAAGUUCUUUGGAAUUACUUAUUCCUUAAACAUGAACCCCCCAAACAAAACAAUUACUAAAUAAAAAAAUUCUAGUAAAUAUUCUAAUUUAGGAUUUACAAAUCCUCAUUGAAAAAGGAGAUAUGUUUCUUAAAAAUCUCCACUUUGGCGAGUUUUUUAAUUAAAUGAAAAAAUAUGAUCCGCCAUACAUCUAUGCAACCAUGUCGUCUCCACCUUCUUUAGUCUACCAAAACCACACUGACAUUGGACUAAUAAGAAUCACUCCACUAUGAGUAAAAUCUUGUCCUCUAUCCAGCAGCCAUAAUUUUCUACAUCGAGAAUCAUCAUACUUCACAUUAUCCAGAGUACCAUGUUUGUCAUAUGUCAAUCACAUUUAUGAAAUUACCCACUCUCAUGUUUGGCUUCUUUGAGAGUCCUCAAUGAUCAACAUAAAAAGUCCACCACAUACCUUUCAUAAAUACUAAACUACAUGUUGUGUGCACAUCUUGUGGACCCAUUAGUAAUAACACAUCCUCUUCCACGACACACCAAUAGAUGACAUAAUUAGCAUCUCCUUCUAUUAAUUUACAGCUACUUUCCAAAUUUGCUAUAUUCUAACAAUCUCUUUUAAGAUGUUUUGAUUACCUACACUCCUCCAGGGGUUUCUACUAGUGGAAUAGGCCUAGCAUUGCUCUUUGCUUUACUUGUAUAGACAGAUUGAAUCAAUAUGUUAUUGACUUGACCUUCCCAAAAGCCAAAAUUAAUUAUUCGUCAAACUUUUCUGUUUCUAUCUUCAUAGGUUUUGAAAACCUCCUUGUUGACGUAUUUGCUCUACAUUGCAGCCUUAGCUCUAUUAUCACCUGCUAAGAAAUAAUUAAACUCACCUAAGAUUUGCAAGAAAAAAUAUGAAAUAAAUAGUAAAUAGAAAAUAGGUGGAGAAUAAAGCUAAUAAAAUAAUACAAAAAUUUACAUGAAAAAUUUCUAUAUUGGAGAAAAAUUAUAAUAGCUAAGGACAAUAAGAGAAAAAUUUAUUAUGUAAAAAUUAUUAUAAUUACUCUAGGGUUUUUCUCACACCUAAAACACCAAAAGCACCUAAUUUUAAUAGAACUACUUAUAUUAUUUCAUAUAGAAAUUGUAUUCCUUUCCUUAUAUGAUUUGUAUUCCUCCUUGAAUAAGUUAAGUUCUAAAGAGAAAAUUACUUAUUUCUUAAAUAUGAAUUAUCUUCAAUAAGAAAACUGAAAAGUGUAAAAAAUUCCUAAUUUAAGACUUAAAAAUCUUCUUUGAAAAAAGAGACAUCUCCCAAUAUCCUCAAAUCCUCCUUACAAUGCCACCAAUCUCUUUUGUGACUAGCCCAGUUGAAACUUUUAAUGGAUGGGCUGUAAUUGCCAAUAUCCAAAUAAAACAAAUUUCCAUAGGUAUAUUGGUAGAUUGAAUGACAACUAACAACACAUGAUUUGAUUAACUUACUUCCAAAAAAAAAGAAAAAAAAAAGAUAGAAUGGAUGAACAUAAGACUCUUUUACCAACUCAUGGAAUUCAUCAAUAAGGCCUUGGCUGAUCCACCUCAUGACUAGUAGAGUUCAAACCCCCGCUAAAUAGUAAAAAAAAUAUUUGGAUUAUUAAUUACUCUUUCUUAAGUCUAUUUAAACUUAACUUUGAGAAUUAUGAACGUCUACACUUUAAUUAAAACAAUACAAGCCCACCCGUUUGUAUUUAAAAUUUUGUUUGAAUUUAUUCACGAGCAACAAGAAUAGUAUAAAUGGAAAAAAAACCAUCAAAUAAUAUCCCAUGACUCUGUUUCUUCAAUUUCAGGAGCAAUGGUGGAAUCAUAUUUUUCGAUUGAAAAACUUUUGGAAAAAUUAGGGGGCUUUGCUUAUGAAGAACUUUUAUUGUUCUGCGGUGUCAAAAAUGACUUAGAAAAGCUAAAGGAGACCUUAACCAUUGUCAAAAGUGUGGUUUUGGAUGCCGAGAAAACGCAAGUCCAGAAUGACCGGUUAAGCGUUUGGCUGGGAAAUCUUAAGGAUGCUUGUUAUGAUGCAGAAGAUGUGUUGGAUGAAUUUGAGGUGGAAGAUCUACGAAGGCAAGUCAUGAAGCAAAGAAGCAUCGGAAGAAAGUUUCGUAACUUUUUUGGAAGCUCAAAUCCGAUAGCUUUUCGUUUUAGAAUGUGCCAACAAAUCAAGAAAGUCAGAGAGAGGUUUGAUGAGAUUGCAAACAUGAUGCAUAAGUUUGAUCUCACUGCACGACUUGAUGAUCGUAGUUGGCGAAUUGUGCAUGAAGAGAGGGAACCUACUCACUCGUUUGUGCGUCCAUCAGAUAUUAUUGGAAGAGAUAAAGAUAGAGAAAAGAUUAUUGAACUAUUGAUGCAAACAAGUGAUGGCGAAAGUGAAACUGUGUCUGUGGUUCCUAUUGUGGGACUUGGAGGUUUGGGCAAGACUUCACUUGCAAAAUUGGUGUACAAUAAUCAAAUGGUAGAAGAGCAUUUUGAGUUGAAAAUCUGGAUAUGUGUUUCUGAGGAUUUUGAUGAGAGACAAAUUAUGAAUAAAGCAUGUUUAUGGUUUGUCUUAAUUCAUGGUUAGAUGUUCUACUGUAUUUUUUGUUUGGAUCUGCAAUAAGAGGGUGAUUUAUUAUAACCAUGUUUCCCUCUUGAUUUAGUUUAUCGUAAUAAAAAUUUUGUAAGCCAAAAUUAGCAUCGGAUUAUUGUAAAUCACUGGAAAAUUGCGGAAACUUGCUGGAACCUGCAGCAACGAACCAGCACACGCAGCAGCGAGCGGCCACCAGCACACGCUGCUGCACGAGCAGCACGCGGCCAGAAGCACAUGCUGCCAGCAGCGCGCGCUGCACGCGAAGCGGCCAGCAGCCACGCUGCAAGCAGCUCGCGCUGCACAUGCAGCAACUGCAGCGCGCGUUGCAACGCUGCAAGCAGCGCUACCUGCAGCGCGCGAGCAGCAGCUGCAGCGCCUGAGCAGCAGCGCGAACGUGGGCUGGAGGCGCGGAGCGUUUUGGUUGACGUCUUUCCGGCGUUGAUGACGGCUGUCCGGUGUGGAAACAGUGAACAGCGGCUGGAUUUUUUGGAGAUGGCGGCUGGGGAAGAGAGGAAGAAAAAUAUGGAUUUAGGGUUACAUGGUUUUUAUCAUGGAGGUCCCUAUGGUUCCAUAAUUUUUCAUUUGGGCAGAAAGUUUUUUAAUUUUUUACAUUUAUAUCCAAAAACAGUUUUGAGUUUAAUGAAUCCUAAUUUUAGGCCCAAUUUCAAUUGGGCUUAAUGGAUUAAAAAUGCAUAGACAAAAUUAAAUACAUUAAAUUUAUUUUUGGUCCAAAAGUUUUAUUUUAAAAAAAAAAUAAAAUAAAAUAAAACUAUUUAUUUAUUUAUUUCCUUUCAAAAUUAAAAUUAGACCAAUUAUAAAUUUAAAAGCCCAAUUUCCCCUAGUCCAUUAACAAAAACAAGCUUAUGGAAGAUGGACAUUGACAAGAAGCCCAAUGAAGAUUAGGCUUAGGGUUAAUGUAUUUUUCAUUAUUAGGAAAGCCAUGAAUUAAGAUUAUUUAAUUAUUUUUCUAUAUGUUAUGUUUUGGAUGAUAACAUGCCAUGAUAACAUGUCAUAUAGAAUAGGUAGUGCCACUCUAUGCAUAAUGAUACAUGUUAUUCAUUAAAUAAUGAAUUUCAUUAUAUUGUUUGAAAUUUGCAUAUGCUUAAUAAUAUUUGAUAUCAUCUAGAUAAUAUUAUAGGAAGCAUGCAAUUAACAAUAUGUAUGUUUUAAAAAGGAAAAAUCAAUUUUAAAAUAUUGAGUGGGAGAGGGAAAAUUCAAGAUAAUUUUUCCCACGGGCUCCAUUGUUAGUUCAAUAAUAAAAUUAUAUAUAUACCUCGACUUCAUGAUACGGUGAUGCUCCCUACGGAGGGUAUAUAUAUUGGAUAUUUUAUUUGAUGAACUUCUUCAAAGAUAAAAUUGAAAUAUUUUUUCAAUCGAUUGUUCGCCCCAACGGUGACUAUUGAUAUGAAAAAUACGUAGAUUGAAACAAUGGUUAUACACUCAACUAAAGUUUGUUAUUAACCUUUCCAACGAAGCUCUAUUAACAAAUUUAGGCCCAAAGGGAUAACGAUAAUUAUUUAUCAUGUCUCUACAUGAAAGUAAAUAAUCUAAUGGAUAAUUGGGUCUAGUAAGUGUAGACAUGACUUCCCCAACGGAUAGCUUGUCAAAACGGUACUAGAUUAUCGUUACAAUAAAUUAAAAUGCAUUUAUGAUUUUUUGCAUUUUUGUCAUUUAUUGUGAAUAUUGUUUCAAAGUAUUUAUGCAUGUCUAUUUUGUUUUUUCAGAAAAUGUCUUCCAUCAACCCAUUAUUAAUUAUCCUUGGUAAAAAUGAACUCACUGGUGAAAAUUAUUUAGAUUGGAAACGCAAUCUAUUUAAUAUUCUCACUGCUAAGGGAAGCAAAUAUGUUUUGACUCAGCCUUGCCCUCAUGAACCAUCGUUAUACGAUUAUAGAAAUCAGAGGGAGCCUUAUGAGAAAUGGUGCGAAGCUAACAAAAUGGCUAAGCGCUAUAUAUUGGCUUCGAUUUCUGUGGAACUGCAUAAGAAACAUCGGAGCAUGGAAACAGCCACUGAAAUAAUGGCUAGUCUUCAUCAGAUGUUUGGGCAAAAUACCCAUUUUGCCAGAGAAGCAGCAUAGAAACGUAUUACGGAUACUAAGAUGGAAGAGGGCACAAAAGUUCGUGAUCAUGUCCUCAAAAUGAUGGACUAUUUGAAUGAGGUAGAGAUUCAUGGUGUUCAAAUCAAUGAUAAAUCAAAGAUUAACAUGGUGAUUGAAUCUUUACCUGAUACAUUCAAAGAGUUUAAGGUCAGUUAUAUCUUAAACAAUAAAGUUAUGACCUUAAUUGAAUUAAUGCACGAACUACAUGCUAUAGAAGAAUUCUAUCAUAGCAGAAAACUUCCUAAAAAAGGAUUCUCUUCAAGGCUUAAGUCGAAAGACAAGAAUGAGCAAGCAAGAGUUGGGAUCGGCAAACUGUCCACUAAAAGAAGUGGCAAGCCAAAAGGCAAGUGUUACAAAUGUGGACAGAAGGGUCACUGGAAGAAAGAUUGUCCUAAGAUUAUUAAAAUCAGGUAUAGGAAAUCUUUAAGCUUCCUAAUUAGUUCAGAUUUCUAUUGCAUCAUACAAUAAUGAAUUCUGAGAUAACUAAUCUUAUUUGUAAUUCAUUUAUUUGGUUUUCAGGAAACCAAGAGAUUAAGUGAAGAAAGCAUCAAACAGCAGUUGAAGACAUGCUAGUUUAUAUCAAUUGAAAGACUAGAUCAAUUUUAUAAGACUUUAGUUUUGAUAUUUGUCUUUAUAUUAGAGGAAUUUAAUUUCGGUGGCUUGUUUUAAUAAACAGGAGUACACUGUUAUUUUUUGGAUCCUCUAUUUAUUAUUUAUUUUGGUUAUUUAUAAAGACAAUUUAUAUCAUAGAAGUCCAUUGAUCUAUUCAAAGUAAGAUAUAAUGAUAAAACGUAUAUGCAUUUAUCUAAGAAAAGAAAUGUUUCUUCUAACCAAAAAUCACCUCUGAUAUUUAUGCCUAAGUCAUAUAAACUAUAAUAAGAUUUUAAGAAAAUGAUCAAUGAUAGACUUGUUGGCCUAUUAAGAUUGAUCAUUGUAACUCUAUAAAUCUUAUUUAGAAAAGUAAUAUGACAAGGAUGCUCUUUUUGAGCUAAAAAGCAUAACUAUGUAUUUGAUGAUUUAGCGCAUACAAAUGUAUACGGACUAAUCAGUUUACAUGUUAUAAGGGAUUAUGAGUAUUCUAUCAAUCUUGUUGAUGAAUAUUCAUUUUAUUUAUGUUUGUCUAAAUGCGUCAUGAUUCCAUUGCUUUUGAAAUUCAAAAGAGUACGUGGAUAAGACAGAAGCAAUUAGACAGGAACAUAAAAGAACUUCGAUAUGAUCGAAACAAAGAAUAUCUCUAUGGAGAAUUCAAGCACUAUUUGGUUGUCAAUGAACACUAUAAUACAAUAGUGUAAUUAAAUGAAGAAACAAGAUUCUUUUGGAUAAGACAAGAUAUAUACUAAGUGGUUUAUCAUUUACCUUUUUUGAUUCCAGAUACUAGUAUUUAAAACUACAAAGUUUAUUGAACUUAGUUUCAUCUAUCUCGGUGUCUACUACUCCAAGAAAUUAUGAAAAAGUCACAAACAUGGUUUGAGACACAUUCGUAUUUGGAGUUUACUAGUAUUUCUACUAGAAUCAGAGAUAGACAAGAUGGAUUCGUGUUCAGAAGCUUGCAUGUUUUAGGUAUCUUAAAGGAAUAAGGGAAAGUCUGAAUUAUAGUCCUCAAGAUAGGAAUGUAUUUAUAGAAAUAUUCUUUACUUUCUUUGAGGAAGACUCUAUAAUGACUUAUAACCUAAGAGUAAGGUAAAACUAGAGAAAUAAAAGAGAUCAGGUUGAUGCUCAGCUUUCAACACCUGUUAUAGAACAGGAAGAACAGCAACAACCAGCUGAUCAGCACAGGAUUAUCCUUGAACAACCAUCACUUUUAGAACCUUGUUGUAGUGGGAGGGUAACUAGGUUACCUGCGAGAUACAUAUUUUUGGGAGAAACCUAUAUGGUUAUCUCAGAUGAACAUGUACAAAAUCCCACUAGUUACAACGAAGCUCUAAUAGAUAGAGAUGUUAAAUUUUGGAAAAAUGCCAUGAAUCAAGAAAUGGAAUCUGUGUAUUCCAAUAAAGUCUGGGAACUUGUAGAGGCACCAAAUGGGGUAAAACCUAUAGGCUGCAAGUGGAUCUACAAGAGAAAAAGAGGAGUAGACGGAAGGGUGGAAACAUUUAAAGCAAGAUUAGUAGCCGAAGGGUUUACUUAGAAAGAAGGGAUCGAUUAUGAGGAAACAUUUUUCUACGGUUGCUAUGCUUAAAUCCAUCAGGAUUCUGCUCUCCAUUGCUGCAGUGCUAGAUUAUGAAAUUUGGCAAAUGGAUGUCAAGACUGCCUUUCUUAACGGGCAUCUGGAAGAAAACAUCUACAUGCAGCAACCAGAUGGAUUUAUACAAAAAGGCCAAGAACACAUGGUAUGUAAGUUGCAGAGAUCCAUUUAUGGAUUAAAGCAAGCAUCCCGGUCAUGGAACAUCAGAUUUGAUCAAGCGAUUAAAUCACUUGGAUUCAUUCAGAACAUUGAUGAACCAUGUGUGUACAAGAAAAUUCAGGAAAAAUUUGUAGCCUUCCUAGUUCUUUGUGUAGACAAUAUUCUCCUUAUUGGAAAUGAUAUAGGAGUAUUGACUACAAUAAAGAUUUGGUUAGCAAAAUAAUUUGAUAUGAAAGACCUGGGGGAGGCAAGUUAUAUUCUUGGUAUCAAGUUACUACGAGACCGGAAGAAUAAAACUUUAGCCUUGUCUCAAGCGAUCUAUAUCGAUAAGAUAUUGGCUAGAUUUAGCAUGGAAAAUUCCAAGACUGGUUUAUUACCAUUCAGACAUGGAAUUACAUUCUCUAAGGAUCAAUCACCUAAAACAUCUGAAGAGAUAGAGAGAAAGAGACGAGUUCCCUAUGCAGACGCUGUGGGAAGUCUCGUGUAUGCCAUGCUUUGCACUAGGCCAGACAUCUGUUUUGCGGUAGGGAUGGUUAGCAGAUAUCAAUUUAAUCCUGGACCUCAAUACUGGACUGUAGUCAAGCAUAUUAUAAAGUAUCUGAAAAGAACUAAAAAUUAUAUGCUUGUGUAUUCUGGUGAUGAACUCAUUCCAGUGGGUUAUACUGAUUCUGACUUUAUGUCAGAUAAGGAUUCCAGAAAAUCAACUUCCGGCUAUGUGUUUACAUUGGGAAGUGGAGCUAUUAGUUGGAUGAGUGUGAAACAAUCUUGUAUCACAGACUCAACAACUAAAGCUGAAUAUGUGGCUACAUCUGAAGCUGCAAAAGAAGCUAUAUGGUUCCGCAAGUUCCUACGAAAUCUUGAGGUGGUACCUGUUGUAACUGCACCCCUUAAACUAUUUAUGUGAUAAUGGUGGUGCGGUAGCUCAAUCUAAGGAACUAAAGAACCACAAGAAACAAAACAUAUUGAAAGGAAGUAUCAUCUUAUAAGGGAAUAGUGUAGAAAGGUUAUAUGACAAUAUCCCAAAUGGCAUUAGAUGCUAAAUGGCAGAUCUUAUUACAAUGGCCAUUAGUGGGAAACCUUUAUAACCUGCACUUAGAGCCCUAGAGCAUGUGCAAUAUGCCAGAUAUGCUUUGAGAGCUAGUGGGAGAUUGUUGGGAAAAUAUGCUCUUUAAAAGCAUAUGUGUUUAUUUAAUUGUAAUAAACAAUUUUUCUGAUUAAUAAAAUAAAUGAGGUAUUUUAUUCAAAUAUCUUAAUUGCAUUAAUAUUUGUAUUAAAGUCCAUUUAAUCAUAUUAUAUGUAUUUAUGUGAUCACUAUGUGGAUUCACAGAAGACAUAAAUACAAGUUAUCUUAUGAUUAAAUAAAUUUAGUUCGCAGUUGAUAAAUAAAGUUGGGCACUUUAUUUAGGUAUAGACUGUAAUAAAUUCAUUGAAUGAUUUGUCUUAAUCAUGUAUGAAUUUAUUGAUGUAGUACGACUACAUUGAACAGGAUCACAUAUGAGAUUUAAUUAACUUUGUAAUAACUGUCAGACUUAUUAAAUCUCAUAGGCGUUGAUUUUACUGUAAUCUUAAUCUUGAGUUAAUUAUGAUUUCAUGAUUGUAAUUGUUAUUCCAUUUGAGUUACCAAUGGGCACGACACAGCCUUGUGGUCAAGAUUACCCGGUAUCUUGGUGGGAGCAAUUAUGAGUAUUGGAGUUAUGUAUUAACAAUAUAGAAUUUGUACAACACAUCUCUUGAUGGGUUUUCGGCACUUGAUCAUAGAACUCUCUGGCCAGAGUGUGUCAACAUAUUUAGUAUGUUGAAAAUGAUCAUUAGAGAAAACCAGUAAGGAUCAAGGAAUAAGAUGUUAUUAAAUUGAUUGGACAGUUGAGAUAUCAAUUUAAUUAACGAUGUGGUACAAAGGAUUGUGCAGUAAAGAAAUCAAUGUGGCUUGGGACGAAUUAUUAUUCGAGCAUACAAUUAUGGAAGUCAGUUCUAAUCUUUUAGUGGAGUAGAUUUGAAAUUAAAUAAUUGGACUAGUUUAAUUACAGGCCUAAUUAUUGUAGCCACUAUUGUAUGUUCCCAAAUGAUCCCCGGGUUAGCUCAUUUAAUUGACUGCACCACUACUGGACUAAUAAGUAAGAUAACUAGCUAUUUUGGUCAAAAGCCUAAAUAUAUCAUUUAGUGGGAGGCUCCAUUUAAUUAGCUUUUGUAUAAGGGGCCUUAUGUUAUUUUACAAGGUGGGUCCCCUAUUGAAAAAGAAAAUAACGUGAGUUUUAUUUAGGGUAUUAUUUGGAGCCUAGGGUUUUCACUAAAGGGUGAUAUAAAAGGCUUAUUUUUCCCUAAAGAAAAAUAUGGAAGCCACUAUAUACAGAUCAGAGAAAAAGAUUUUUCUCUCUAUUGUUGAGAGAAAAAUUUUCUCGUGCUAGUUGUUUUGAUAGUGAUAAAGGCGCCCACAUGUCAAGUGCAGAUCGAACCUGAGUCAUAACUUGGAAGAUCAUUGGAGACUGUUCGUGAUCUAACAAGCGUGGUGGUGACGGAUCGUGAUCUAACAGGAGUGGUGGUGGCGGAUCGUGAUCUAGGAGCCUAAAACACUUCAGCGGAAAAAGCCAACUCAGAUUUUCAAGGUACGAUUUCUAGAAUACAAAUUCUUAUAUAUUAUAUGAGAGCGAUCUUCAAAAGGUUUUAUAAAAAUUAAAAAACUGGAUUUUCCCCAACAGAAGGAAGUCAUCAUGAUCGCAAAAACACAAGGCCUCACCUUCGGAGGGUUGUCAUCGGGGAAAUAACACAGUUCUUAGAACUGCCACAAUGGCUUCUUCAAUGUUGUACUGAUACUUUACAGAGCUUGAUAAUUGUUGAUUGUCCCAACUUCAUGGCACUACCAGGGUCUCUAAAAGAUCUCGAAGCUCUUGAAACUCUUGUCACUGCACGAUGUCCAAAAUUGUCAUCGUUGCCGGAGGAUAUGCAUCACGUCACUACUCUGAAAUCAUUGGCCAUUGCAGAAUGUCCUGCGCUGAGUGAACGAUGCAAACCGCCAACAGGUGAAGAUUGGCCCAAGAUUGCACAUAUCCCUGAGAUUUUACUUGACGAUAAGAUGAUUAAAUCAAGCGAUUAUUAGGUAUGGAGCUCUCUUCUUUUUUAAUUUCCUCUUUUCAUGCAGCUUUCUAAUUUUUAAUUUCUCAUACAGCUAUACCGUUUAUAGUUUAAUGUUUUGUUAUGUUUACCAAACGAAAACUUGACUUUGAACGUUAGUUAGUUCAAUCAAAUUUGUACUAAUUUAUUUUCUUCUAAUACAUAAUUAGUUUGUCAGUACGAAACACAAAAAUAAUAUUUCGGAAACCGCAUUGUUCUAGGGGUCAGAUCUGUUUCUAAAUUCAAACAGUUCAGGAUUUUUCAAAAUGGAACUUAUAAUGAGAUUUUUUUUUUUUAAUUAUCUAGUUAUCUUCAUAUGGAAUUUCAAUCUUUGUUAAUACUUUAACUUGCGCCGAAACAUCUAACUAUUCUUCCUCUUAUCCUUUUUUUUUCCCAAAUAUUGCAGCUUUCUUGGGAGAGGUUCAACCAAACUGUAGGGACAGUGAAAAUAUUACUCUUAACGUUGUUCAGAACAGAGGUUCAACGGUUUUAAUGUUGUGUUUUAAAGUUACAAGUAUUAUAUAUUCGUUACGUGUGGUUAUGUAAUUUGCUGAUAUAUAAGUACAUUGAGUGAGGUAUAUGUGUGUGCCUGUGUGGUCAUUACUGAAUUUCUCAGUAAUAUAAUUUGCAUUGACUGCAGAUUUGUGUAAUGGGAACGGUGGUGUCUGUAUUUUUUGCUUUGUGAUUGACGACUUACAUUUGCCCAGGAAGAAAUGAAAACAAAUCGGCUUCUUGAAAUUAACCAUUUAUUCUUUCGAAUGGUAACCUUUUUGUGACAUGAUUCGCAUAUUAAUCAAAAGCAGUUGGCAAACUAAUCAGAUAUUGCAUCGUGAUUCGUGGCCUUGAAGUGAAAUGCGUGAGCAUGUUUGUGGAGGUUUUUGUUUUUGUUUUUUUUUUCCUCCAUAUAAAAUGACUAAUUCGAAAGAAUAUGUAUUGUAAUAGAACCUAGAACUUCUAUGUACUUUAGGAUGAAAAUUCUGUACGAUAGAAAAUAUUAAAACGAAAAUUAAAGUUGAUAUGAGAAAAUUAAAGAAGCUUGCAACUUGGAACUGCAAUCUAGCUCGACCUACUAUAUAUAUAUAUAUAUAUAUAUAUAUAUAUAUAUAUGUUAUUAAUUAAUUGAUCAGGUAAGAUAGGGAGAGACUCGCAGACUCUUUACAAGGAGCAAAAAUGGUAUGAAACUCUGUUUUGAUUAAAAUUCAAUGACUUUCUUCGUAUUAAUCAAAUUAAUUGAUUAAUUAUUUUGGUAAAAAGAAUUUGCGAAAAGUCAUUUUAUCAAAUGAUUUGGUGAAAUUUCAAGUACUUUCAUCUUGGUUUUUGCAGUUAAUAGGAAAUAGUUUGGUCUUGGGAUGUGGUAUAUGUAUCAACUUCUUAUUGCUGGUGAACAUUACUGGUUUAGUGUGCGAUCGUUUACUAUCACUGCAUGCAUUAUCAGUUUAUUUUAUUGAACUAUCCCAAAUCAGUAACGAAUCCUCAAUUCCCUCUGUUUUCUUUGGAUCCUAGUAGUGUUUGGCAUGCAUCAACUAGUGUUCAUGCAUGUGUCGGUUCAUCAUAGACAACUUCAGCACACAUACAACAGCCCUCAUUUCUUCUUAUAUUGUCGGUUCGAUAUCAUUUUGAAAAAUCAUAUCAAAACUGCUUUUGGAGUUCUAAUCCAGUGCAGUUACACCUAUAUUGUACUUUUGAUCUGCAACCUUGAGUCACUGUCAUUUUGCUGUUAGUAUUUCGAUUAGCAACUUGUACAGUGGUAUUUGAACUGCAUGGUAUGUCAACUUUCACUCUAUGUGUCUUAGAAACUCUGUAUAUCACUAAUUUCCUAGCACAGGCCUUGUUGACAGUCAAAGAUUUGAGGCAUAUUUCUGUAUUGAAGGCUUUUCUGUCGUCAAUUUGAUGAUGAGCGCAUGUAUUAUCCCCAAUAUUUUGAGCAGGAACUUGUAACUAGUAAUAACCAGUACCUAAGAUGUUGCAUUUGAUUGACUUCUCUUUCUCGUUUAGUUUCAGCCGUUGGAGUUGUUUCAGACAUGGUAACUGAUACGUAAUUUCUCUCUUUCCACCCCACAAUGUAUCAUUAGUCAUCAUUCGUUCUGGUUGGCGCGGAUACGCAUACUAAUUUGGAUUAUUGUCUGUGCCUUUGUCUUUUGUCAAUAAUCUUUUGCAUUUCAGGAUUAGUACAUCUUGUGUACUGGUAUACUCUCUCAACUAUACAUGUAAGACUUUGUUAUGUUUUCUUGACCCGUAAUCUAAUGCUAUAAGAUGACGGCAUAAUUGAGCUAUUUUGCAUCUCCAUGCAGGCCUGAUUUGGUUUUUGUGUCACUACCUGCAUUAGAUAUUGGUAGUCAAUGGCUGCAGAUGUACAGGUGCCGUUUCGUUUCCCUGACAUAAUCUCAUGUAACAUGAAAUUGCUUGUGAAACUGGAAGAUACUUGAUUCUUUUUUUUUUUCAUUUUUGCUAAAGAAAAGUGUUACUUGCGUUGGGAAAUAUGCCUACCACUCUGGAUCUCCGUUGCAGUACAUUCUUGAGAGGAAAAUCUAGCCAUAAAAUGUAAAAGACAACACAAAUUGGCCUUUCAAAGCCUAUUAUGGGAACCGGAUGUUUAUGGGUUAUAGUUGUGUGGCAUGUGAGGUAAUUGUAGCUUUCCGUGUUAUUAUCCAUAUCAGGAUUUGCAAAUGUUAUCAGUGCUUUUUACCUGAUCCAACUGUUUCAACCCUGCAGCUUCUUUACCUAAUCAUAUUUCUUAUUGCGGAGACGCAGAGUGAAAGUUUGGUGGAUGUAGGUUCUCAUUUUCUUACUAUUAGAUUGUUCUGCAUAUAGAAAGAUUUCCCCUGUUUCUGGCUUUGCAAACAAUCUCUUCUUUCAGGUUGUGGUGGGUGCUGUGCGACAGGGCUCGCCUCUUUCCUUCCUAGUUGCAUUGAGUUUAUUCGGUUGGGCAAUCAAGCAAACGAUCAAUGUCAUAAAGGUAACUUGCACUCCAUAUUAUCGUAAUGUUCGUUUAUUCUGAUACUUCUUCACAAUAAGUAAAUUUCUUGAUGUCUACAAAUUAAGGAGACUUUUGUAUGGGUAAAGUUGACAUUUUACAAUGGCAUUCUGGAUCCUGAAAUCGGUCAGUUUGAGAUUCACAUGCUGUGAUAUGCUCUACUGUUAAAACUCAAACCUUUUCUGUAUCUUAAAUGGAUUGUCGUGGAUAUGCCUGGGAUGAUCAUUUUCUUCCUCUUCACUUCAUCAUCUUUGUCAUAGUAGUUAUAAUUGAUUGAGGAGUGUGAAAACGCAUUGUGAUGAAUGAAUGCACAAGCUAUGUGAUUAAGACUGCAUUUAUUAGGUUGGUGACGGCAAAUAUCAGGCAGGAUAUUCACAAUAGUGCUACUGAAGCUUAAUAUGGAAUAAGGAGACCAAACCUCUAUAUGAUAAGAGUUGUAUGAAUACCAAAUGAAUUGUAAGAGGAUAUGGUUAAUUUAGAUUGUAAUUUAAGAAAGCUUGAGUUCUAAGAGCACAGAAAUGGGAUCAGUCUUGCUCAAGUGUGAACUCCAUCAGUUAGGAAGUUGUCCAUCAAAUGGAAAUAUUUAUGUGAUUCAGAGAAAUUAUGGACUUUUGAUGAAAACAAAAAUCCUGUAUGCAUUUGCUUGCUCCCAAUCCUGUAUGCAUUUGCUUGCCCCGAAGGAGCUGAAAGUUCUCAAAUUGUUUGUAGACGUCAUAGUUCUCCUGAUGUCAUUUGGCUUGGUAAUCUUUUUUGCUCGAAAAUUUGCCCAUUGUGUGGUCUUGACGGUGGGUGAAAUUGAUUUGUGGUUUCAGAUGAAGACAUCAGCAGAUGUGUGUGCGCUAUAUCACAUCGAGAAAAAGCAAAGGCCUUAAAGAGUUCAUCAACAUUUUCCAUUUCAGAAGAAUCUGUUUGUGGUUCUCCUGCUCAAGUGCCUACUUUUCGGGGUGCAGCAUAUAUGUUGAGACCGGCAUAUGAAAUCACUAUACUUUUACAGUUGAUCCGAGGCUUCCCUAGCAAAGGAUUUGGAAUUAAUUUGGGGAAGGGGUGUUUUUUGGGUAUAUGAGUGUGUGCAUUCCUUCAAUCACGUAGCUUCGUGCCAUUGACUUAUUGGCAAUUCCACAAUGGUGAUAAUGAUAAUUUUAUGAUUGGGGCACAGUGUUAGGAACUCUUUACUGGUUUUUUUUUUUCGCAUCUAUGUCUAUGAUUAAGGUUGUUUAAGGUGGUAUGGAUUUCAGUACAUUGAACAAAAAAUUAUUUAUUUUUAUUCAAAUAAAAAUACCUAAAAAUCAAACCUAAGUUAAAAAAAAUAAAGUUUAAAAAAUUCUGAAAUUAAUCAAAUUUUAAAACUUGAGACUUUUAACAGAUUAAUCCAACCUUUGAAUAAAUAAACUAAAUGGGGGUCAGUUUUUCUCGUGUCAGCUUGUUCAAUCGACACUAUCUUUUCAACCUCUCACGAAUAAACAAAUCACUAAUGAUGUGUCCAUUUCUUCUACUUUAUAAUAAUUUUUAAUAAAAAGAUUAUUAAAGUGGUUCGGCUGUGGGAGCCACACGUGUCUGUGGCAGCGCACACCCAAGAGAAGCCAGUCUGGUUCCAAGAAGAAAGUGAACAUGAGAUGAUGAGAUGCCGUAUCAAAUGGGGCCACGUAGACAGAGAUGCUUCGAGGUGACAUGUCAGCAGAUACCUCCACCACCGAUCUUCAAAAUAAUUUGAACGGUUGGGAUUUUAUUUUCAACUUACCUGUGUCCAGGCUGUUGUUGAUUGUCGCUAUCCUCAAUUGUCCACUUCGAAUUUUUUUUUCAAUUUCUCCAACACUCUCCUAACCAAAGGAGUUAAUAAGAUUUCGAUAUUUUUUUCUUUAAAUGAUUUGAAAUAUCAAUAUUUUAUAAUUUUUUUUGGGUCCUAUUUUGUCCAUAAAAUGUUUAGCGAUCCUUUCGUUAAUUAGUUUCGUGGCUGUCUUAUCAAAUUAUUACAACGGUGAUAUUGGUUAGACACAAAAAUUAAGAAAAAAAAAUGAUUAUAAUUAUCUGCGUGGCGCUAACACACUCUUUCACCUUCAAUGCACUGAAACUGGGGAACUACAUGUAUGAUUUUCAUUCAGAAAAACCGAUGGGAACUAAUGACUUUCCAGAUUAAAAAAAAAAAUAGGAUUAUCAAACAAUGUAGCAUUGUUAUGUAAAGUUUUAUGGUUAUUUUAAGGCUAAAAUUGGUUUAGAAAUUAAUUAAAAGACUAUAUUCAUUCUAACAUAAAACGAGUUUUUAACAAGAGGAGGAGGUUCCUUUUAUAAUUUACUAAUUUAUACAACCUUUAAUAUUAAAACAAUAUUUUAUAUAUUAAGGACGAUGAUUCUUGCUCACUUAGUAAGAUAUGUAGACAUAACAUAGAUGUGGUGAUCAAUUGCAGGUUUCUAGUUUGGUUGCUUAGUUUGAGGAAAGAAUAUAUGCUAUGGUGUUUGGCUGGUCUGCUUUUUCUUUUCAAUUAAUGUAAUAUUCUUAUGCUUUGGAAUUGAUUAUCAUAACUAAAGGAAAGAAUAUAUACUAUGGAAUAUAUGCUAUGGUCUUUGGCUGGUCUACUUUUUUCUUUUCAAUUAAUGUAUUAUUCAUAUGCUAUGGAAUAUGAAUAUUACAUUAAGGGAAAGAAUAUUUUUACACAGCACACUAUAAUACUCUAAUUACCAAUUUUUUAUCUUGUAAUACAAGGUCAUAGCGAUUAAUUUAUCCGUCUUCAGCCAAAAAAAAAGUCCCAUUUCAGCACAUAUACAAGAGCCCUCAUUUUUCUUUGCUUCAGCCAUUUUAUAGCAGAAUCAUCACAGACACUUUGAGCUCUGCCGAAUCAUCAUAGACAAUUUGUGAUUGGUGGGAGCAUUACAAGAAAGGUACGACUACUUCGAACCGAUAGAUUUGUUUAUAUGAUUUAGCUAUCGUUUUAACUUUUAACAAUAAACAAGUGACAAUCAUGUACAUCAUUGGUUACAUAAAUAUUAAAAUGAGAUAAAUUUAUUCCUCUACUUGCCAGAUCCAUACAUAUUAAAAUGAGAUAAAUUUUAAGGUUUAAAAAUUUGCAAUUCAUCAAAAAUCUAGUGCGAUAUUAAGCGGUAAAAUCACUUAGGGUUAGUACAAGAGGUUUAUGAUUCCCUGACUCAUUUAUAUAGGUGGAGACUCAUUUAUAUAGGUGGAGAGGGAAUUAGGCAAUAAAGAAUUGAUACAAAUUAAUAAUUAUAUUAUAAAAAGAAAUAAAUUUCAAGAGGGAUCAUAAGUUCAUAGAAGAUUGUAUGUCAGUUAUUUGUAGUGGAAUGGAGUUUUUUUUGGAGAGGCUAUUUGGCUUGGAAUAUAUAUUAGAAUGAGAUUAUUUGAACCUACCGCAAUACUCUCUAAAAUCCACUUUUCAAAAAAAAAUUUCAGUACAAAAUUUUCCUUAAUUAAAUUACUAUUUUAGCCAAAUAUUAUGUUGAUUUAUCUCCCUAAAGUUUUUAUUUUUUUUUCACUCUUUUUUCUCUUUUCCUCUCUGUUUCCCCAAUUUUUUUUUUCCAGUCCUAUGUGGUUCUUAUAUUUUAAGGCUUCUAUUGGAGUAAGAUCUAUAUUCAAAUUGCUUAUCCAAAAAAAAAAAAUCUUUUAAAAUUUGCCUUUCCUUUACCCUCAAGUCACUAUUAGAUGUAUGUGCUCCUCAAGAAACUUUAGUAAUUGGAUUUCUAUUAAAUAUUUUAAUUUCAAAAAAUGAGAAGGUCACUAUACAAAUAUCAAAAGAUCACCAACUUAAUUAUACUAGUUAUAAUUAAGGGAAAUAAAAGACUUACUAUUUCUAUUUGAAGUUAUUAUGAUGAACAAAGAAGAGGGAGGGGGGGGGGGGGGGGGGGGGGAACAAGUCGCUGCAAUUGCAUCAAUUGAUGACAUGUUAAGAAACGUAUCAUUGAGAUAAGAUUUAAUUGAUAAAAAUAAGAUUUACUAGAAAGUAGUGAGAGAAACAACUAACAAAAAUUCAUGAUACUUAUUGAGGGUAUAUUGAGAAUAUUUGUGGCUUUUUUGAGUAAAAAAAUAAAGUUUUAAUUUGUGAUAAUGUGUUUAUUACGUAAAUGAGUUUAUUUAAUAUUCCAGUGGAUUUAAGUAGCCUUACCUUUCAUAUUAUAAUAAAUUUUUACAUUACUCUAUAUUACCCCUACUAUAGAGGACAAUGUAAUGAAAAUAUUGUUACUCUUAUACCUAUUAAAGAAACAAUAUUAUCUUGUACGUACAAGAACGUUCUAGUGCCCAAGUAAAAGUUUUAGUAAAACGUAUAAGAACUCUAAGUGUAAAGAGAAUUUCGUCAAGGUACUAUAGUAGUAUCGAAUGCUCUUUGCUAGUGUAAACUAUUUGUGCCACGUGUAGUAUUUCAAUCUUCACAAGUGGCAUUGCAUAUAGUGGCUCUUAUUUCAGUUCCUCAAAGGCACUCUAGAGGUACGUUAGCUUAUAAGCUAGUAUUUGGUCAUCAUGUGCUUCUUUUAAUGAAACACGUGGUUCAUUUUGUCCUCAUACGAGAGCAUUUUGUGUGGAAUAACCUUGUAAAAUGCUCAUUUAUCAAGGGCACAUGUUGUGUUGUUGGAACAUAGUAAAAAUAUGAUACGCUAACCCAUGUGCAUUUAUGAAAAAUCAAAUGAAAACAAAGAACUAAAAAAAAUGCAAAGGCUAAUUCAUAAUGUUUGAGUUUGAGAUGAUUAAUAUUUAAUUUUAUGGUUGCAAAGAUAAGAAUAAAAGUAGGUCUAGUGAGAAAUACCCUCAUAUUAUAAUACUAUUUAAAAUAAAUUUUGUUAUAAAAGAUUUUAUUUAAUAAGGUAUGGAGACUGUUCAAAAUAUAUUUUACGUACAAACUCAUAUGUUUGACGUGAUAGUAUGUCCCAUGCUAGGACUAGCAAUGGUCAAAUCAACCUAUUUCGAUAAGAUCCAUCAAAAUUAAUAUUUAAAAAAUUUAUCAUCUCAUUAUACAAUACACAGCUUUGCCAUCUAGUAGAGAAUGAUUGGUUGGCACACCAUAGUUUACACGAAUAUUUCUAAUAUUUGAAUCGUCUGUUAGAAAAUUUUAAUCCUAGCAAGAUCUUGUAAGUAAAAAUAUCAAAUAAAUAGUAAAUAGAAAAUAUACAGAGAAUAAAACCAAUCAUACAACACAAUAAUUUACGUGAAAAAUUCUUAUAUUGAAGAAAAACCGCAGUCGCCAAAGAUGACAAAAGAAAAAUCUACUAUUUAAAGAUCAUUACAAUUACUUUAAUAUUUUCCUCACAUAAAAAACCCCAAUAACAAAUAAUCUCUCAUUUCAGAAACUGUCUACUUGUAUAGAGCUGAUUGUUGUGUUAUUUAAAUAAGUGAAUCUAACCUUUCGUAUAUAUUGUGAUUAUUUUAUAUUGGAGAAAUAUUUAUUUCCUUAUAUAAUUUGUAUUUCUCCUUUAAUAAGUUCUUUGGCAUUACUUAUUCCUUAAACAUGAACCCCCCCCCCCCCCCCGGAACAAGAAAAUUACUAAAUAAAAAAAUUCUAGGAAAUAUCCUAAUUUAGGAUUUACAAAUCUUCAUUGAAAAAGGAGAUAUGUUUCUUAAAAAUCUCCACUUUGGUGAGUUUUUCAAUUAAGUGACAAAAUAUAAUCCGCCAUACAUCUAUGCAACCAUGUCGUCUCCCCCUUAUUUAGUCUACCAAAACCACACUAACAUAAGACUAAUGAGAAUCACUCCACCAUGGGUAAAAUCUUGUCCUCUAUCCAGCAGCCAUAAUUUUCUACAUCGAGAAUCAUCAUACUCCACAUUAUCCAGAGUACACAUGUUUUGUAACACUCCAAAAAUUACCCACGAAAACACAAGGAUAAAAUUGGAAUGAAACUUUACAUCAUUUAUUCUUAUUAAUAAAUCUCAAGAUAGACAAUUAUUCAUACUCCAACUGAAUCCGUACAUAAAACAUCUGAAAUAAAGUCUAUAAAGAAAAGUCUCUAGUCCAAAAUAAAAAGUCUAGCCAAAUUCACUCUUGAAAGCAACUCCAAAGAUCCACUAAGAAAAAUUCUCCAUUUAAGCACCCAAGCCACAUUUCUAAUCAAUCUGCAAAAUAUUGGAGACGAGGGGUGAGCCGUCAACUCGGUAAGCAAAUCUAUGCACAAUAUUUGAAAACCUUGUAAGUUUACCUUUAAAUAUUUUAUAACAACAUCUUUAUUUAGCAUAAGGGGUGGAUUCAUAUAAAAGCAUUAAAAACAUUAAAACAUUCAUAAAAACGUUAAAACAUAAACAUUAGUAGCUCAUGCCUCGUAGUCAUCAUUAUUCAUCAUUCAUCAUUUAGGGUGUUAUACCCCGCAUUUUUCCUCAUUUAGGGUACUAUACCCCACGUUGUUCAUAAUAUCCUUGUGCACCAGAUCAUCAUCAUACCAGCAAGUUGGCCUUAGCAUUUCAUAACAUCAUAACAUUAACAUCAUAUAUAUUACUACAGACUAUGAGCCAAAACAUUUUUGAAUCCACCUUACAUCUUUUCAUAAAUAGCAUUUAAAGUCUUCUAAAACAUUUAAUUCUUUUAAAAAAUUCUUUAAGAAAACAUUUAAUUUUAAAAAAACUAAUUUCUUAAGAAAAAAUCAUUUUAAAAUACAUUUAUAUAAAUUCAUUUAGAAGCGUUUUUAUUUUACAAAAUUCAUUUAAAUAUUUUAGAAAUCAGUUUUGUAAAAAUCUCUAUUUAAACAUAAUUCGUAUUUAUUAUAAAGGACAUCAUGCAUGAAUCUACUUAUCUUGAUCCAUAUCAAUCAAUUCAAUACCUUAAGAAUAACCAACGAGCUCACCCAUGUCCUAUAAUUAUCAUAAAAAUAUUCUUAUCAAUAUCAUCUCUAACCUUAAACAUAAUCCCAGUCAUCCUUAAAUCAUAGGCACUUAUACUAGCUUAAUACUUAUACAUAUUCUAAACAUAUCCUAUACUUAUGAGUAUCAUGUACAUGCUGAUUUUUAAUAACCUAUACACAUGUCGGAAAACCAUGAAAAUUUACAGAGGCACUGUGAACAUGCAUAGCAUUGCAUACAAUAUUUCACAAAAAUCAGCACAAGUCAAAAUCGAGUCAGAAUAUUGACCUUUCACCAAAGUAACAAAAUUGUCCAGCACUGAUCAAAACAGACAUUUUCCACUUAUAAAAUUCAUAAAAUUUUCUUUAGUACUCGAAAUAAUAUGUUUCUUUUUUUGAAUCACAGAAGAAACAUUCAGAAAGCACUAAUUAAAUUUCAUAAUUUUUGGACUCCUGAAACUAUUUUAAAACGUUUUAUUUCCAAGAACAUCUAACCCGUCCAGAAAAUCUCAGAGUUGAAAACAGAAUUUCAAACAUUCGUAUCUUUUAUUUUACAUGCCCAAAAAUCACGAUUCCAUUUUUUAAAGAUAGAGGAAAGAUUGAAAUUUCAUUAUAAAAUCCUAACAUGACAUGUAAUAUUCAUAAACUAGCCCAACUGUUAUACGUUUCAGCUUCUGCAAUUCUGGAAAACAGUUUUCAGAUUUGCAGCAGCCACAUGUUACGGUUUUUAAUAAUUCAACCAUAAAGAAUAAAACUACGAAAUUACACAUGCAAGCAUAGGAGACAUAGAUCUGUUGAUACAAAAAUCGCCAUAAUUUUUAAGGAUGUGUAACCUUAUAGAAAAAUUUCCAGAAUUGAGAACCGCUGCUGAAAAUCGGAAUUUUCCAGCACCAGUAACCCAACUUCGAAAACCCAUAACAAUUUGCAUAAUCAGACGAUUUCAACACAAAACCUAUCAAUGGAAAGCUUAGGAUGUCUAGUUCCAUGAUAUGUAAGCAUAUUCAUGUGAUUCUAAAUAAAGAAAACGCUUUCAAGCAAGGAAUAGAGGCUGUUCAUAUCAUCACAACAUUACAAACACGCAUAUAUUACCCAAAUCAUACUACAAGUAAUUAAAGGCAAACAAUUCAAAAAAAUAAAUCAUAUAAGUCUAAGAAAUAUUUAGUACCUUAAGGAAAACACUAAGGUGGCGUUUGUUUUUUAACUUAAUGACUUAAAGUGACUUAACUUAAUUAAUUAAGUUAAUUAAAGGUGUUUGUUUUUAUAACUUAAUGAGACUUUUUAGAUAAUUUUGACUUAAUAAAAUAAGCCAAUUUUUUUAGCUUUUUACUUAAUGGAGAAAUCUGAAUUAAGUCAAUUACUUACUAAUGUCAAAAAUAUCCUUGCUUUAUAAUUUAUUUUUCAUGUUUAUCCCAAACUCAUCCAUAGACAUUUACCCUACAUAAAAAUAUCCAUGUUUUUCUUUCUUAUAUUAUAUACGAUAAAAUUUAAAAUUUAUGGUAUUUUAUCUAUUAAAAUUCUAAAAUAAUUAUGUAUUUACUUGAAUUUAGUUUUACUUAUAAAUGUUAAAAUAUUGUGGCAUUUAAUAUAUUAUUUAUUUGACAUUCAAAUUUAAUAAGGAUACAAAUGUAAAAGUACAUAUUUUUAACUUUUUAAGUUGAAAAAAACAAACAACUUAAUACUUAUUUUCUGAGAUUCAGACGAAAAAAUAAACAUAUUAUUCAGAUUCAGACAUUCAGAUCUAUUCAGAAUUCAGACUAAUUCAGGUAUAUUCAGAUUUUAGAUAAAAAAACAAAUGCCACCUAAAAAAAGAAAGUUAUAAAACUUUCUUUUCCUUCUCCAAAGACUUAUGUUUCUUUUUUUUUUUUCUUUCUAGAGUUUGUAACGGUGUAGAAAAUAAAAGACGACUUCCUCUUAAAUACUUGUCAAUUAAUAAAUACUUUUAAAAAAAAAAUUAAUAACUUACAUAAUUUAUUUAAAGCAAUUUGAUAAAUUUUACCCACACACAAACACUCAAUAAUAAUUAUCCUACUCAAUUUUGAUAAGGGUAAAAGUAGAAAAAUAAAUAAAUAAAUAAAAGUGGGCGUUACAUGUUUGGCAUAUGUCGAUGACAUUUCUAAAAUUACCCACUCUCAUGUUUGGCUUUUUUGAGAGUCCUCAUCAAUCAACAUAAAAUUUCAUCUCAUACCUUGCAUAAAUACUAAACUAGGGGUUGUGUGCAUAUCUUGUGGACCAAUUAGCAAUAACACAUCCUCUUCACGAAACACCAAUAGAUGUCAUAAUUACUAUCUCUUUCUGUUGAUUUAGAACUACUUUCCAAAUUUGCUAUAUUCCAACAAUCUCUUUUAAGAUGUUUUGAUUACCUACACUCGUCCAAGGGUUUCUACUAGUGGAAUAGGCCUUACAUUGUUCUUUGCUUUACUUGUACAGACAUAUUGAAUCAUUACGUUAUUGAUUUGAGCUUCCCAUAAGCAAACAUUGAUUAUUCUGUCAAACUUUUUCGUUUCUAUCUUCAUAGGUUUUGAAAACCUCCUUGUUGCCAUAUUUGCUCUACAUUGCAACCUUAGCUCUAUUAUCACCUACUAAGAAAUAAUUAAUCCCACUUAAGAUUCGUAAGAAAAAAUAUCAAAUAAAUAGUAAAUAUAAAAUAGAUAGAAAAUAAAGCCAAUCAAAUAAUACAAAAUUUACAUGAAAACUUCUAUAUUGGAGAAAAACUAUAAUAGCCAAGGAUGAUAAGAGAAAAAAUUAUUAUAAUUACUCUAGUAUUUUUUUAACACCUAAAACACCAAAAGCACCUAAUCUCUUAAUAGAACUAUCUUUUCUCUCGCAGUAAAAACUAUUUACUUACAGACAAUCGAUUGUUAUAUUAUGCAAAUAAGUAAACCUAAUCUCCAUAUAUGUGUGUGUGUGUGUGUGUGUGUGUGUGUGUGUGUGUGUGUCUAUGUAGGUAUGUAUGUAUAUAUGUAUGUAUGUGUAUGUAUGUGUAUAUAUAUAUAUAUAUAUACUCACACAUAUAUAGAUACCUACAUACAUACAUACAUACAUAUAUAUAUGUACAUGUAUGUACAUACAUACAUAAAUACAUACAUACAUACAUACAUACAUACAUACAUACAUAUACACACACACAUACAUGCAUACAUACAUACAUACAUACAUACAUACAUACAUAUAUGAUUUGUAUUCCUCUUUGAAUAAGUUAAGUUCUAAAGAGAAAAUUACUUAUUUGUUAAAUAUGAAUUAUCUUCAAUAAGAAAACUGAAAAGUGUAGAAAAUUCCUAAUUUAGGACUUAAAAAUCUUCUUUGAAAAAAGAGACAUCUCCCAAUAUCCUCAAAUCCUCUUUACAAUGCCACCAAAUCUCUUUUGUGACUAGCCCGGUUGAAACUUUUAAUUAAUGGGCUGUAAUUGCCAAUAUCCAAAAUAUCCAAAUAAAACAAAUUUCCAUAGGUAUAUUGGUAGAUUGAAUGACAACUAACAACACGUGAUUUGAUUAACUUAUUUCCAAAAAAAAAAGAAAAAAAAAAGAUACAAUGGAUGAACAUAAGACUCUUGUGCCAACUCAUGGAAUUCAUCAAUAAGGCCUUGGCUGAUCCACCUCAUGACUAGUAGAGUUCAAACCCCCGCUAAAUAGUAAAAAAACUAUUUGGAUUAUUAAUUACUCUUUCUUAAGUCUAUUUAAACUUAACUUUAAGAAUUAUGAACGUCUACACUUUAAUUAAAACAAUACAAGCCCACCCGUUUGUAUUUAAAAUUUUGUUUGAAUUUAUUCACGAGCAACAAGAAUAGUAUAAAUGGAAAAAAAAACCAUCAAAUAAUAUCCCAUGACUCUGUUUCUUCAAUUUCAGGAGCAAUGGUGGAAUCAUAUUUUCCGAUUGAAAAACUUUUGGAAAAAUUAGUGAGCUCUACUUGUGAAGAACUUUUAUUGUUCUACGGUGUCAAAAAUGACUUAUAAAAAUUAAAGGAGACGUUAACCACUGUCAAAAGUGUGGUUUUGGAUGCUGAGGAAAAGCAAAUCCAUAAUCACCGGUUAAGCGAUUGGCUGGGAAAGCUUAAAGAUGCUUGUUAUGAUGCAGAAGAUGUGUUGGAUGAAUUUGAGGUGGAAAAUCUACGAAGGCAAGUCAUGAAGCAAAGAAGCAUCGGAAGAAAGUUUCGUAACUUUUUUGGAAGCUCAAAUCCGAUAGCUUUUCGUUUUAGAAUGGGCCAUCAAAUCAAGAAAAUUCGAGAGAGAUUUGAUGAGAUUGCAAAAUUGAGGGGUGAGUUUAAUCUCAUUGAACGACUUGACGAUCAUCAGCGAGUUGUGCACAAAGAAAGGGAACCCACUCACUCGUUUGUGCUUUCAUCUGAUAUUAUUGGAAGAGAUAAAGAUAGAGAGAAGAUUAUUGAACUAUUGAUGCAAACAAGUGACGGCGAAAGUGAAACUGUGUCUGUGGUUCCUAUUGUGGGACUUGGAGGUUUGGGCAAGACUGGACUUGCAAAAUUGGUGUACAAUGAUCAAAGGGUAGAAGAGCAUUUUGAGUUGAAAAUCUGGAUAUGUGUUUCUGAGGAUUUUGAUGAGAAACAACUUAUGACAAAGAUUAUCAAGUCGAUAACUGGUCAAAACCAAGGUGACUUGGAUACAGACCAAUUGCAACGAACCUUGCGAGAUCGUUUGAAUAGUAAGAGAUACUUGCUUGUUAUGGAUGAUGUAUGGAACGAAGAUCCUGAAGCAUGGCGUAAAUUAAAAAGCUUAUUGUUGGGAGGUGCUAACGGAAGCAAAAUUUUGGUAACCACACGUAGCAGGAAGGUUGCUUCAAUCAUGGGCACGAGGGGAGGUACUACUGGCUACAACUUACAAGGUCUACCAUUCGAGGAUUGCUUGUCUUUGUUUAUGAAAUGUGCAUUUAAAGAAGAGCGAGAUAAACAUCCAAACCUUGUUAAAAUCGGGGAAGAAAUUGUGAAAAAAUGUGGGGGAAUUCCUCUGGCAGUCAGAACACUAGGAAGUCUACUAUAUGACUCAACGGAUGAACAUGAUUGGGAAUAUGUGAGGGAUAAUGAGAUAUGGAAGUUAGAGCAAAAGGCAAAUGACAUUUUACCUGUUCUGAGGUUCAGUUAUGAUCAACUACCGCCUCGCCUGAAACAAUGUGUUGCUUAUUGUUGUAUCUUUCCAAAGGAUUUUGAAUUUAGUAGUUAUGCUUUGGUUCAAUUUUGGAUGGCUCAUGGUCUUCUCCAAUCGCAUAAUAAGAAUGAAGAGUUAGAAGAUAUUGGUAUGCGGUACGUGAAGGAAUUACUAUCAAGAUCUUUCUUCCAAGAUUUGACUAUUGGGAUGUUAGGAAUGGAGACGUUCUCUUUCAAAAUGCGCGACCUUAUGCAUGAUCUUGCUCAGCAAGUGGCCAAAGAUGAAUUCCUAGUAGUGAACUCUGAUUGUCAAUCUAUUCCCAAAAGUGUCCGUCAUUUGUCAUUUGCUACUGCUAAUGCAUCGAGAAAUGACUUUUCAAGCCUUUUAUCUGAUCUAGGUCGUGUGAGAACCAUUUUCUUUUCACCUGAUGAUGAGAAGACAAGCCAAUCAUUUGUUGAAUCAUGCAUCUCAAAGUCGUAGUUCCUGAGAGUGCUAGAUUUAAAUGGCUCUGCUAUUGAGGUUUGUCCCAGAAAGAUGGGUAAUUUGAAGCACAUGAGGCGUCUUGAUCUGGCGGGAAAUUCUAAAAUCAAGAAACUUCCAAAAUCCAUUUGCGAGCUACAGAGUUUACAAACACUGAAUCUUGAAGGAUGUCUGGAGCUAGAAGAGUUGCCUAAAGACAUAAGGUACCUUGUUAGUCUCAGAGUGUUAGGGCUAACCACAAAACAAAAGUCUUUGCAAGAGAGUGGAAUAAGGAGCUUGAGUUCUCUUCGUUGGUUGUCAAUUUCUAAAUGCAGGAAUUUAGAACAUUUGUUCGAGGAGAUAGAUCAAUUAUUGUCCUUCGAACAUUAUUAAUUGCUAAUUGUCCUCGUCUAAUCUCAUUGCCACCUGCUAUCAAAUAUCUCAGCUCAUUAGAGACUCUGAUGUUGUGGAAGUGUGAAAGCCUUGAUCUUAAUCUGAACGUGGAAAUGGAAGGUGAAGGAAGUCAUCAUGAUUGCAAAGACACAAGGCCUCACCUUUGGAGGGUUUUCGUUGUGGAAAUAACACUGUUAUUAGAACUGCCGCAAUGGCUUCUUCAAUGUUGUACUGAUACUUUACGGAACUUGGUUAUUGGAGAUUGUCCCAACUUCAUGGCACUGCCAGGGUCUCUAAAAGAUCUCAAAGCUCUUGAAACUCUUACCAUUCUAGGAUGUCCAAAAUUGUCAUCGUUGCCGGAGGAUAUGCAUGACGUCACAACUCUGAAAUCAUUGACCAUUGCAGGAUGUCCUGCACUGAGUGAAAGAUGCAAACCGCCAACAGGUGAAGAUUGGCCCAAGAUUGCACAUAUCCCUCAGGUUCAUCUUGAUGGCGAGAUGAUUGAAUCAAGUGAUAAUUAGGUAUGGAUUUUUUUUUUUCAAUAAGCGUACCACUCUGUUAUAUUUCCUCUUUUCAUGCAGCUUUCUAAUUUUUAAUUUCUCAUACAGCUAUACCGUUUAUAGUUUAAUGUUUUGUUAUGUUUACCAAACGAAAACUUGACUUUGAACGUUAGUUAGUUCAAUCAAAUUUGUACUAAUUUAUUUUCUUCUAAUACAUAAUUAUUUUGUCGGUACGAAAAACAAAAAUAAUAUUUUGGAAACCGCACUGUUCUCGGGGUCAGAUCUGUUUCUAAAUUCAAACAGUUCAGGAUUUUUCAAAAUGGAACUUAUAAUGAGAUUUUUUUUUUAAUUAUCUAGUUAUCUUCAUAUGGAAUUUCAAUCUUUGUUAAUACUUUAACUUGCCCCGAAACAUCUGACUAUUCUUCCUCUUGUCCUUUUUUUUUCCCAAAUAUUGCAGCUUUCUUGGGAGAGGUUCAACCAAACUGCAGGGACAGUGAAAAUAUUACUCUAAGUUACAAGUAUUAUAUAUUCGUUACGUGUGGUUAUGUAAUUUGCUGAUAAAUAAGUACAUUGAGUGAGGUAUAUGUGUGUGCCUGUGUGGUCAUUACUGAAUUUCUCAGUAAUAUAAUUUGCAUUGACUGCAGAUUUGUGAAGAACAUUGAUUCCAAACAUGUGGUGUCUGUAUUUUGUGCUUUGUGAUUGACGACUUACAUUUGCCCAGGAAGAAAUGAAAACAAAUCGGCUUCUUGAAAUUAACCAUUUAUUCUUUCGAAUGGUAACCUUUUUGUGACAUGAUUCGCAUAUUAAUCAAACGUAGUUGGCAAACUAAUUAGAUAUUGCAUCGUGAUUCGUGGCCUUGAAGUGAAAUGAGUGUUGGUGCUAAUUAGCAAUGUAACUUGUUUUGAUUAAAAUUCAAUGACUUUCUUCGUAUUAAUCAAAUUAAUUAAUAAAUUAUUUUGGUAAAAAGAAUUUGCCAAUUUUGUGGCGGUCUUGAGACCCUUGACGGUGGUGAAAUUGAUUCACGGUUUCAAAUGAAGACAUGCAGCGGAUGCGUGCGUGCCGUAUGACAUCGAUGAAAAAGUAAAGAGUUUGAUUUCUCUAUUUUACCCUUAAUUAAUCGUUGACGUCUAAUUUUACACUCCCAACAAAUUUGAAUGAAACAAUCCUAAUGUUCACUUUCUUCUUCCAUUUCAUUUUACGACUUAACAAAAUCUCGCAACGGAGAUGCUCCUGAUGAGGAGAAGGAGAAGAAGACACAGCGAGUUCGCAAGAACGUGUACAGAGGAAUAAGGCAGAGGCCAUGGGAGAAAUGGGCAGCUGAAAUUAGAGACCCUUACAAGGGCGUCCGCGUUUGGCUCGGCACAGCCGAAAAAGCUGCAAGAGUUUAUGCUGACGUCGCCAAGAAUAUCCGUGGCUCGACUUUGCUCACCGGCCGCCAGUAACUCCACCUCCAGGUAAGAAACGCUUCGUGCUAUCCCGUGAGUUGACUCACCCGAAUUUCGGAGAUUACUUUUUUAUUGGUUUUCAUUGAUUUCUUUUCCUGCUCUUAUCUACGAGGUUGUGCUUUCCCUUGGAUGCCCUUUAAUAAACAGCUUUCUUAAUAACAACUGAAGCGAAAAGUCAUUUUAUCAAAUGAUUUGGUGAAAUUUCAAGUACUUUCAUCUUGGUUUAUGCAGUUAAUAGGAAAUAGUUUGGUGUUGGGAUGUGUUAUAUGUAUCAAGUUCUUAUUGCUGGUUUGUUUCUCAUAAUCGUUAUCCAGUCAAAGCAAACGUUCGCCUCUCACAUUGACGGUUAGGCUAGAUGUUUGACCCUGAAUAAGAUGAUUGAGUUUAUUAUAGUCUUCUUAUAUUGUCGGUUCAAUAUCAUUUUGAAAUAUCACAUCAAUUCCGCGUUUGGAGUUUUAAUCCAUGCCCAGUUACACCUUUAUUUUACUUUUAAGCUGCAACAUUGAGUCACAUUCUUUUUCUGUUAUUAUUACGAUUAGCGACUGGUACAGUGGUAUUUGAACUGCAUAGCGUGUCAACUUUCACUCUAAAUGUCUUAGAAACUCUGUCUAUCACUAAUUUCCUAGAACAGGCCUCGUUGACAGUCAAAGAUUUGAGGCGUAUUUCUGGACUGAAGGCUUUUCUCUAGUCAAUUUGAUGAUAAGCGCAUUUAUUAUCUCCAGCAUUAAGCAGUAAUUUGUAACUAGUAGUAGCCAGUACCUAAGAUGUUGCAUUUGACUGUCUUCUCUUUCUGGUUCAGUUUCGACCUUUGGAGCUGUUUUAGACAUGGUAACGGAUAGGUAAUUUCUCUCUACCCCACCCCACAAUGUAUCAUCAGUCAUCAUUCGUUGUGGUUGGUGGAGAUACACAUACUAAUUUGGAUUAUUGUCCGUGCCUUCGUCUUUUGUCAAUAAUCUUUUGCAUUUCAGGAUUAGUACAGCUUGUCUACUGGUAAUACUCUCUCAAGUAUACAGGGAAGACUUUGUUACGUUUUCUUGACCCGUAAUCUAAUGUUUUAAGAUGAAGGCAUAAUUGAGCUAUCUUGCAUCUCCAUGCAGGCCUGGUUUGGUUUUUGUGUCACUACCUGUAUUAGAUAUUGGUAGUCAAUGGCUGCAGAUGUACAGGUACCUUUUCGUUUCCCUGACAUAAUCUCAUGUUACAUGAAAUUGCUCGUGGAACUGGGAGAUUUUUUAUUUUUUAUUUUUUCAUAUUUACUAAAGAAAAGUGUUACUUUCGUUGGGAAAAAUGCCUACCACUCUUUAUCUCUGUUGCAGUACAUUCUUAACAGGAAAAACUCGACAUAAAGAUGCAAAAGACAGCACAAAUUGGCUUUUCAAAGCCUAUUAUGGGAACCGGAUGUUUAUGGGUUAUUGUUGUGUGGCGUGUGAGGUAAUUGUAGCUUUCCGUGUUAUUAUACAUAUCAGGAUUUGCAAAUGUUAUCGGUACUUUUUACCUGAUCCAACUGUUUCAACCCUGCAGCUUCUUUACCUAAUCCUAUUUCUUAUUGCGUAGAAGCAGAGGGAAAGCUUGGUGGAUGUAGGCUCUCAUUUUCUUACUAUUAGAUUGUUCUGAAAAUAGAAAUAUUUCCCCUGUUUCUUGAUUUUCAAACAAUUUCUUCUUUCAGGUUGUGGCGAGUGCUGUGCAACAGGGUUCGCCUCUUUCCUUCCUAGUUGCAUUGAGUUUAUUCGCAUGGGCGCAAUCAAGCAAACGAUUAAUGUCGGACAGGUAACUUCAACCCCAUAUGAUGGUAAUGUUCGUUUAAAUAAAUUUCUUGAUGUCUACAAAUUAAGGAAACCUUUGUAUGGGUAAAGUUGACAUUUUACACUGGCAUUAUGGGUCUUGAAAUCGGUCUGUUUUAGAUUCACAUGCUGUGAUAUGCUCUAAUGUUAAAACUCAAACCUCUUCUGCAUGUUAAAUGGAUUGUCGUGGAUAUGCCUGGGAUGAUCAUUUUCUUCGUUUUCACUCAUCGUCUUUGUCAUUGUAGUUAUAAUUGAUUGUGGAGAGUGAAAACGCACUGUGAUGAAUGAAUGCAAAAGCUAUGUAAUUAAGACUACAUUUAUUAGGUUGGUGACCACAAAUAAUCGGAAGGAUAUUCACAAUAGUGUUAUUGAAGCUCUAUAUGGAAUAAGGAGACCAAACCUGUAUGUGAUAAGAGUUGUAUGAAUACCAAAUGAAUUGUCAGAGGAUAUGGUUACUUUAGAUUGCAAUUUAAGAAUGCUUGAGUUCUAAAAGCACAGAAAUGGGAUCAGUUAGGGUAAACUCCUUCGUCAGUUAGUGAACUGUCCAUCAAAAGUAAAUAUUUAUGUGAUUGAGAGAAAUUUUGGAUUUUUGAUGAAAACAAAAAUCCUGUAUGCAUUUGCUUGCCCCCAAGGAGCUGAAGAUUCUCAAAUUGUUUGUAGACGUAAUAGUUCUUCUGAUAUCAUUUGGCUUGCUAAUCUUUCUUGCUCGAAAAUUUACCCGUUGUGUGGUCUUGAUGGUGGAUGAAAUUGAUGUGUGGUUUCAGAUGAAGACGGCAGCAGAUAUGUGUGUGCCAUAUGACAUCGAGAAAAAGCAAAAGCCUUAAAGAGUUCAUCAACAUUUUCCAUUCAGAAGAAUAUGUUUUGUGGUUUUCAAUAUAAUUGAAGAAAUGAUGUUUGUACUGAUGCAGAUGCAGGAACUUUACACAUCUUAAGUUUACGAGAUAUAUAUAUAUUUUUUUGACUCUGUUAGAUAGCUGUCAGUUAGUUAACCAAUUUAUGUUACUCUUCCUUGGCUAGCCAAUUAAGAACUUAUGUUUGCUGGAUUGUAAAGCCUACAUCUGGAAGCCACAGGUGAUUUUAUUUGAAGGCAAUUUGUACUAGGCUAUAUGCGGAUUUCUAUCUUGAUUUCUGUAUGCUUGAAGGAGAUUUUUUUAUGCGUGAGAGCUUGAAAAUUAUACAUGUACAUGUUGAAACUAUUGGAUAUAUGUUAAGAAUCAAGCAUAAUUGUGUCAAGAUGAAACCAUAAUUUGGGUGCUGUUUUAUGAGUAAACUAUCUGCAAUUUGGGUGCAGUAAACCUAGGUUGAAUACCAGGACAUGGUAUAAAAGUGAAAUCACACAUUGAAUCUCGCAUAAAGAUUUUAAAGAUGCAAAUUCGAAUUGUACAUGAGAUGUUAUCUUGAUCGAAUUGCAGCGGCUUUGUUUUGGAUCCAGAAAACAAAAUUGAAGGCAUAGAGAAGUCUCUAUGGGAUGCUUAUAUUAAGGUGCAUAAUGGCCUCAUUGAGUUUUGUGCUGUUGUUCUACGUUGUUUGAGUUUUGUGCUGCGGUUCUGUGUUGCUGCUUUUGCUACCGAUUUUGGCUAUUUUCUGCCACUCUGUUAUUUGCUAUUUUUUACUACUUUCGCUGCUGAUUUUUACUGUUUUCGCUGCUUUAGCUGUUGUUUUAUCUGCUGUUUUUUUUUACUGCUUUUAUUUUUUAUUUUUUCUGUUCUCUAUCGUGUUUUACCCACUGGUUGUCGCAUGUUUAUUAAUAUUGUUUGCUGCUGUUUGAUUUGCUGUUUUUUGCUGCUAAUUUUUUUUCCUGUUUUCUGCGGUUAUUUGCUGCCGUUACUGUUUUACUCGCCAGUUGAUGAUGUUUUGUGGUUCUCCUCCUCGAAUGCCUACUUUUUCCAGUGUGCAAGCAUAUCUGUUGAGAGUGGCUGAUGAAAUCACUAAACUGUUACAGUUGAUCUCAUGCUUCUCUAGAGAAGGAAUUAGACUUAUUUUGGUGAAGGGGUUUUUUCUGGUUUUUAUAUCAGUGUGUGCAUUUCUUCAAUCACGUAGCUUUGUGGCAUUACGAUCGAUAAUGGCUGUUAAGCGAAUAAAAGCACCAGGUCGGCCAUACUAUUAUUGCCACCCCGGCAUGGAUCACCUCAGCCCUGUGGUACGAGCAGAGCACAGGGGCACACAUCGACCAGAUGUUCAUAUCAAACCGAUAUACAUUCCCCAGAAAAGCGGGAACACGAUCCCACAGAAUCACUGCAGUUGCGCUUUGCCCAGAACCGUUGAAGGACACGGGAGAUCCCACGUUUGCCACAAUGCAACAAUCAGAGCCCCAUGAGGGGCGGCCACCACCCGAAAAAAGGGGGAUAGAGGGUAAGCGGAAAACGUGGGACAAACAGCGGCUAUAAAAGAAGAGGAAAUCGAUGAAGAAAAGGACACAGAAAAAUUGAGAGGGGAAAACGCUGCCAAAUUGCAACCAGGCCAUUUUCUUACAAAUUUCGAACAAACUUCUUGAAUCCAAAUUACAUUGUUUUCCCGUAAACACCUUGUACUAACUUAGGCAUCGGAGGGUUUACGCCGGCAAAACCACCGGCGUCUCUGAUCCGUUUUUGCUGAACGCAGGUCUAGUGAGAGAAAGGAGGGUGAUUCCAGCCUUAGCGGUUCGUGCAACAGUCGAUAUCUUAAACGUUGGUGGAAGAAUCUGGUCAGUCCAAGGACGAGCAGAUUUCGGCAUCAACAUUUUGGCGCCGUCUGUGGGGAGCUGGAUAAAAAGCUACCACCGAAUCAGUAGUUACCGGAGAAACAGCGAACGAUUAGAUAUGGAUGUGCCGAGAAAGGAUGCUUUGAGGGAGGAUAACGAAACUGUGGAGACAAUCACUCUCCGGGAAAUUGCAAAUGAAGCUUGGGAGAGGAUGAUGCAAGACCGAUUGGAGCGGAUGGAGAAACAAAUGGAGACUCUCGCGACCAUAGUGUAUGAGCUGAGGGAUGAGCGGAGAAAGGAUUGUGAAACCCCCGUGGGGAGAGAUGAUGUUGGAGCAGAACCCAGCUUCCGAAGGCGUAGAGUUGAGGAAAUCCCUCCGCCGGUAGACCAACUUAAUGGGGUGCAUCCCCACAGAAGCACUAGUCGGGCUUCAGGAGAACGAGUAGAUGAAGGGAGGGACCAACCUUGCCCCGGACGGGUACCGGAGAUUGAUGGCCGAGGGGCCAGUAUUGAUGAAGGAGAGCUCAGACAGCGGUUGCAAAAUGCCGAGCAGGAACGAGUUCAGAUAGCUGCGCGUGAUCCUGACCGUGCCGUAGAAUUGGAGGAAGAAGUGCGCAGAUUAGCGCAAGUGAUAGAGGAGAUACAGGGCAAGAGAAAGUCCCCGAGCUGGAGGAUAAUGCUAGAUGAAGAAUCUCCACUAUCAGCUGUGAUCAUGGGUACCAUAAUCCCAAGAGAUUUCCGCUUUCCCGACCUCAAAUACUCCGGGCGAAGUGAUCCAUUGGUGCAUAUUGAACGUUUCAACGACGUGACGGGUGUUCAAGGGUUAACACCAGCCCAGAGAUGUAGGGUGUUACCAUUGACACUGGAAGGACGAGCCGGAGAAUGGUACCGCAAGCUGUCACGAGGAAGUAUCAGAGGGUACGAGCAGAUGUGCCAAGAGUUGGCCGAACAGUUCCGAGGAGCAGUGGCCUCAGAGGAUGAUAUGAUGGAGCUAAUGGGAAUGAAGCAGGAGGAACAAGAAUCCCUUCGGGAUUUUGUAAAACGAUACCACCGAGCCGUGCUUGAUUUGGGGGCCUUCAAUCACCCGCAGGCGUUGAGGGGAUUAAAGGAGGGAGUGAGGAUAGGCCGGCUAUGGUAUAACCUGAGAAGUCCCUUGGUACAAAAUUACUCAGCGGGGUAUGAGCAGGCAAAGAGAGACAUUGAAAUCGAAGAGAAAAAGUCGGCGAGGAUAAAAAGUGAACAACUGGAGGAGCUGAGAAGAAAGGAAAGGAGAAUCCCGAGUGGGAGCGGAUCGGGAAAGCGAGCUGGGGAGUCCUCAGCUAUGGGCGGAAUAUCAGCUUGGUCCCGCCCUUACCACGUAGCUCCGAGACCACAACAGUUCCAACACAGCCGAGCCCAACCUCCGCGCACUUCAUUCCCGGAGCGGCAACGAGAAUUCAGGCAGAUGGCUGCCCGCCCUUAUUACAACGCUCCCAGAGCAUUACAUGCAAGUGGUUCCAGGGCAGGAAGACCAGACCAGCUAGCGACUAUACCAACCCGAGAUGACAUUCAGGAUAGCCGAGCAGUUCAACUGGUAGACCAGAGCUUGGCAUAUAGACAGUACACUCCAUUGAAGAUCUCAAUGGAGGAAUUGUAUGAGAGGAUCGAAGGACGAGGCCUGCUGUACCCGCCAGCCCCUAUAACAAAACUGGCUCACCGACGGGAUAAGAACAGAUUCUGCAAGUUUUACGACACUCAUGGUCACACAAUCGACCAAUGUCGUGACCUGAAGAUUCAGGUGGAGGACUUAGUACGGAACCGGUACUUGGAUGAGUAUGUAGAGGGGGUGUCCCCGAUCAUCGAAUCAAAGUAUAUACGGGAUGAAGAAGUUCAGAGGGGUUUGGAACGUGAACAGCCGACCAUCCAUGUGAUAGCUGGGGGGCCAACAUUGGCUGGGGAUUCGAACAGAGCACGGAAGAACUAUGGGAGAUACGCCAUGACUGGCAAAGAGGUGCUUCUAAAUUUGCCAGCGGCCAAGAAGGCGAAGGUACGGCAAGUUCCCAUUAUGUGGACGGAGGAUGACGAGGAGGGUAUUUUGUAUCCUCAUGAGGAUGCACUGGUGAUUAAAGCAUUGGUGGCUAGCACAGAAUUGCGGCGAAUACUGGUGGACACGGGCAGUUCAGUUGACAUUCUAUUUAAGUCAGCCCUAAAUGAUAUGGGGAUUUUAGAUUUAAAGCUGGAGCGGAUGAAUACAUCCUUAAAAGGAUUUGGAGGGGGACGGUUAACUCCCUUGGGGAUCAUUGAACUCCCGAUUACUGUGGGGACAAAGCCGUUUGAAAGAACGGUGAUGCUGGACUUCGUCGUGGUAGAGGAAAGAAGCCCUUAUCAGAUGAUAUUGGGGAGACCGUUCAUGAGGAUAAGCCAAUGCGUUGUAUCAACGCAUUAUUUGGCGCUAAAGUACAGAGUAAAUAAAGUGGUAGGCGUUGUAAAAGGCGACCAGAGGAUGGCAAGGAGCUGUUAUGCUACAGCAGCCAAGGAGACAUUAUAGGUUACUUCUCUGGAUAAUCGAGGAGAUUCUAAAAAGGGUCGCCAAGAGCCUGUUGAAAAGCUAGAAGAGAUUGUUAUAAGCAGAAGCAACCCGAGUAGAGUGGUUAAGAUCGGAUCAGGACUGGUCGGGACAGUAAAAGACGAGCUGGUAAAGUGCCUACAGUCCCAUGCAGAUAUAUUCGCCUGGUCUCACGGGGACAUGCCAGGAAUUGAUCGCAAGGUAGCUUGCCACAAGUUGACAAUCAAGAAGGGGGCAAGGCCGGUGAGACAGAAGAGGAUAUGCUUUAACCAGGAAAGGUACGAGGCCAUAAACACCGAGGUGGAGAAGCUGUUGAAAGCAUGAUUUAUAAGGGAGGCCAAGUACCCAGAGUGGAUUUCCAAUGUAGUACUGGUGAAGAAGGCCAACGGGAAGUGGAGAAUGUGUGUGGAUUUCACAGAUCUUAAUAAGGCGUGCCCGAAAGACAGUUUUCCUCUACCAAAGAUAGACCAAUUGGUGGAUUCGACAGCGGGUCACAGUCUGCUCAGCUUCAUGGAUGCCUUUUCGGGAUACAACCAGAUACCCAUGGACGAGCAGGAUGAGGAAAACACCACCUUUAUAACUAAUAUGGGUUUGUUUUGCUACAGGGUAAUUCCUUUCGGCCUGAGAAAUGCCGGAGCUACGUAUCAAAGGAUAGCGAACAAGAUCUUCAAGCCCUUGAUUGGACAUACUAUGGAGGUAUAUGUAGACGAUAUGAUCACAAAGUCCAAAGAACCGAGGGAUCACGUGAAACACUUGGAAGAAACCUUUGAAUUGUUGAGGAAGUAUGAAAUGAGGCUAAACCCGGAGAAGUGUGCAUUUGGGGUUAGCUCGGGCAAAUUUUUAUGAUUCCUAGUAAGCCACCGAGGGAUCGAGGCCAACCCGGAAAAAAUACGGGCGGUGAUAGAAAUGAGGUCCCCACGAACAGUUAAGGAGGUGCAGAGCCUUACAGGGAAGUUGGCAGCAUUAAACCGAUUCAUCUCGCGGGCCACAGAUAAAUGUCACCCUCUCUUCCAAACCAUAAAGAAAGGGAAAAAGAUGGAGUGGACAUCAGAAUGCGAGGAAGCGUUUGAGCAGCUGAAGGAAUACCUGACCCGGGCCCCAUUACUAUCGACUCCGAGAGAGGGUGACCAGCUGCUGUUGUACUUAGCAAUCUCUAAAUGGGCUACCAGCUCGGUAUUAGUCAGGGAAGAAGAAGGAAAGCAACACCCGGUAUACUACACGAGCAAGGCCCUGGUAGAUGCAGAAACUAGAUACCCAUUGAUGGAGAAGUGGGCGCUGGCUCUAAUAACGGCAGCACGAAAACUCUGACCAUAUUUUCAGGCCUAUCAGGUUAUUGUGAUGACCGACCAGCCGCUUCGGCAAACACUUCAAAAAUCAGAUGCAUCGGGUCGAUUAGUAAAAUGGUCCGUAGAGCUAAGUGAAUUUGACCUCUCCUAUAGGCCCCGAGGAGCAAUCAAAGUCCAAGCUCUGGCAGAAUUUAUGGUUGACCGAGCUGAUACAGGGGAAGAAAUUCGGGAGGAGCAACUAACAGAGCAGGAGAAGCCAGAGGGGGUGUGGUUGGUAAUGGUUCACGGAUCAUGUAGUGAGCAAGGAUCCGGAGCAAGAGUUGUAAUACGGAGCCCAGAUGGAACCGAAAUAACGUAUGCAGUGAAGUUUGAAUUUCAGCUCACAAACAACCAAGCUGAAUAUGAGGCCUUUAUCACCGGGCUCGGACUUGCACAUGCUCUAAGAGCAGAGAGGGUAGAAAUUCGAGCAGAUUCCCAACUGGUGUGUAAUCAGCUCAAUGAUCAGUUCGAAGCAAGGGGAGAGAAGAUGUGUCUUUAUUUGAAGAAAGCGAAGCAGAUGGUUGGGCUUUUCCAAGCGGUGGAGGUAAAGCAGAUAUCUCGGAAUGAGAAUUACCGAGCAGAUAUGUUGGCUAGGAUGGCUGCCAUUGCAGAUCCAAAAUUACCUAAGUCGGUUCCACUAGAGGUGAGGAUCUCACCAAGUAUAGAGGAAGAAGCAGAGGUUAUGAGAAUAAGUACUGGAGAAUCUUGGAUGGACCUGAUUCGCGCAUAUGUCCGCGAUGGAGUUUUACCAGAGGACAAAAGGCAAGCAAGAAAAUUAAAAUGCCGAGCAGCGAGGUAUACGCUACUGGAUGGAGUGCUGUACUGCCGAGGGUUCACCUUGCCCCUUUUGAGAUGUUUGGAUGAUGAGGAGGCGGAUUAUGUGCUGAGAGAGAUUCAUGAGGGAAUAUGCGGCAAUCACUCGGGAGCAAGAACUUUAGCCUUCAAGGCACUCCGACAAGGAUACUUCUAGCCAACCAUGCACCAGGAUGCGAAAAAGAUGGCAAAGAAUUGUAAAACAUGCCAAAGCUUCUCCGAGGUUCCUGCACAACCCUCGGAAAAGCUGACGGCUAUGACAUCCUCGUGGCCUUUCGCUCAAUGGGGAAUCAACUUGAUUGGUCCGUUGCCUAAGGGACGAAGAGCGGCGACACAUGCAAUUGUGGCAAUAGACUACUUCAUCAAGUGGGUGGAAGUGGGAGUCCUCAGCCAAAUCACAGAGAGAAAGACAAUAGAUUUUAUUUGAAAAAAUAUCAUCUGCAGAUAUGGGAUCCCUUACGCCAUCAUCACAGACAAUGGGAGGCAAUUUGACAACAGCAACUUCAGGAAAUUUUGCCGAAACUUGGGGGUGGACCUGAAGUUCUGUACCCCCGCACACCCCCAGGCAAAUGGACAAGUGGAAGCAGCCAACAAGGUGAUAAAGAAGCUCCUGAAGACUAGAUUGGGAGAGAAUAAGGGAGCUUGGGUUGACGAGCUACCAGGAGUAUUGUGGGCCUAUAGGACAACUCACAAAACCGCCACAGGGGAAACCCCGUUCGCUUUAGCUUUUGGUCAUGAGGCGGUAGUCCCAGCAGAAGUGGGAGUGGGGACACAUCGGACGGAAUAUUUCACUGAGGAGCAAAAUGACGAGCAGAUCUGCUUGAGUCUGGACCUGCUGGAGGAAAAAAGGGAAGGGACAUCGCAGAGAGUGGCCCAGUGUCAACAAAGGGUCAUGCGUUAUUACAACAAGAACGUACGCGUGAGGCAGUUCCGAGCAGGAGAUUGGGUACUUAGGAAGGUGAACCAGAACACCCGGGAUCCUAACCAUGGCGCUCUUGGCCCAAAGUGGGAAGGCCCAUACCGAGUGAUAUGAGCCACUGGACCAGGAGCAUAUAAAUUAGCGUACCAAGACGGACGAGACGUGAAGAGGUCAUGGAACGCCGAACACCUGAAGAAGUAUUUCCAAUAAGCAAAAUGCUCUAUUAAAUCCUCACUCUGGCAAGUUAUUUCUGUUACAAUGCAUGAUGGCCUGUAGCACAUGCAUAUAUUUUGUAUUUUUGUAAUACAUUCAAAUUUCAAUAAAGAUGAAUUCAGAAUGAAAUCCCCUGCUAGCGAGCCCAAUAAGAAAUUUUUUACUAAGGCAAGUAAGUGCCUACUUCUGCUCGGUCAGUGAAAGACUAGCAGCUAAUUUCUUGUAAAAAUUUUACUAAGGCAAGUGAGUGCCUGCUUCUGCUUGGUCAACAGAAGACCAGUAGCUAAUUUACGAGAACUUUACUAAGGCAAGUGAGUGCCUGCUUCUGCUCGGUCAACAGAAGACCAGCAGCUAAUUUAUGAGAACUUUACUAAGGCAAGUGAGUGCCUGCUUCUGCUCGGUCAACAAAAGUCCAGCAGCUAAAGCUUCGAAAAUUCUACUAAGGCAACAAAGUGCCUGUUUCUGCUCGGUCAACGAAAGACCAACAGCUAAAGCUUCGAAAAUUCUACUAAGGCAACAAAGUGCCUACUUCUACUCGGUCAACAGAAGACCAGCAGCUAAUUUACGAGAACUUUACUAAGGCAAGUAAGUGCCUGCUUCUGCUCGGUCAACAAAAGACCAGCAGCUAAUUUACGAGAACUUUACUAAGGCAAGUGAGUGCCUGCUUCUGCUCAGUCAACGAAAGACCAGCAGCUAAAGCUUCGAAAAUUCUACUAAGGCAACAAAGUGCCUGUUUCUGCUCGGUCAACGAAAGACCAGCAGCUAAAGCUUCGAAAAUUCUACUAAGGCAACAAAGUGUCUACUUCUGCUUAGUCAACGAAAAACCAGCAGCUAAAUUUACGAAACCUUGACUAAGGCAAGUAAGUGUCUGCUCCUGCUCGGUCACUGAAGACCAGCAGGCAAUUUUGCAAAAAUUUUACUAAGACAAACGGAUGCCUAUUCCUGUUCGAUGCACUAAAGAACCAACAGGCAAAACCAGACAAGAAAGCCAAUAGAGAGCAUUCAAAAAAUUUUAUAAACGUUCAAAUGUUUACAAAGCAAAUGAAAAACUAGAGUCUUUACAAAAAUAAGACCUAAGGAUUAGGAGGAUCAACGGCCUCAGCAGGUGAAGGGUCAGCUAUCUCGGGAGGUGGAAGGUCAGUAAUAUCGGGAGGUGGAAGGUCAGCAAUAUCGGGAGGAGGAGGCACGGACCUCUGUCCUACUUCAAAAACACGCUGCCCAGCUUCUCCCUCCUGCACCCCAUCCAAAGGAGCCUCCACCUGCUCCUGCUCACCCUGCUCCUUAUCUGCUUGGUCGACCUCUGCCAUAUACCGCUGCACUCCGGCCUCCAGCUUGCUCAUGUCCAGCUCGGGAUAUUCAGUCUUAAGCACAGACAUGAUGCACUUGUAGGAGAAGGCAACCCCAAAAUCAUACUCGGCAUCCAGCCGAUCAUCCACAUCAGCGGAUUUGCCUCUCUCCUCAGUCAGCUGCUCACCCAAGGAUUUGAUUUCCCCCUCAAGGGCGGCCCUCAAAGUAUUCCUUUCAGUUUGAGUAGCUUGAAGAUCAGAUCUCAGGUCACCCAACUCGCCCUCGAGUUUGGAGGAAGUGGAUUCAGCAACCGCAACCUUCUCCUCUAGCUCCGUAAUCUCCUUGUUCAGCUCAGCCAGCUUCUCCUUGGAGCGAUCAACAGAGUCAGCUUUCUUCUUCAAUUCCUGAUUAUCAGCUUGGAGCUUCCUCUCAUGGCGCGCGGACCCAAUCUUAUAGCACGAAACCAUAGUGGCCAACCUGAAGGACACUCUCUGAACAGAAGCAGCUAGCUCGGAGAGGUUCAUACUCUCGAUGUCCUUCACCAUCUUGGGCCCCACCGAUUUCUUGAAAUCCUUCUGAUACGGGCUCAGGUAGUCUGCUUGAUCCCGAGAUGGUAGAGGAGAAGAUCGGUCCCCAGACUGGUGGCUGGCCUCAGGACUCUUGUCAGAAGUUUUCUCCCCGCCACUCUUACGGGGUGGGGGAGGGGGCAGAGCAGGGACAGGAGCCUUGGAAGGGCCGACGCUGGUUUUCUUCGGAGGAGGAGGGGGGUUGCUGGAGCUACUUGGAGCUCGACCACUCUUCCUGCUCAUUGCGCUAAGGAUCGUGUUAUCCAUUCCAACAGCUAGGUCCACUAGGCCCGAACCGACCAGGCUUGUUGGGGACAGGAGGUCUUGGCAGGUAGAAGCGUUAAACAGAGCAGUUUCCACCCAAAGCAAAGGUCGAUCUUCAAGCCCCCCGAUUAAACCCCACGAUUCUGAAAUAGCAAAAGAGGUUAAAGAACUCGAUAAGUGACAAUUUGACUAAGAACAUAGGCAAAAAUGAACGACCUGGGGUGACAAAAUGUGUGGGAAGAUAAAUGUCCCCACCAAGCGACCGAACCGCUGGACACCAAUUCCCUCCAGCAAAGAAGAAUUUGUUCUUCUAAUUUUUACAUGAAGAGGGAAACCCAAUGAUCGGUUUCCUCUUUGCAGAACUGGACAUAAAGUAGUACCAGCCCGCUUCCCUCGGGCUACUCCGCAGCUGGUACAGAUAUUUCACUUCAACAAGGGAAGGCUCCUCCGACCCGCACCUCUCUCACAACACAAACAUUGCCGAGAGAACCCUCCACCCAUUUGGGUGUAGCUGACCUGGGGCUAGGUGCAUAUCGCCCAAUAUCUUGGCAAAAUAACGUUGAAGGGGCAGCCGAGCUCCUAGUCUGAAACUCUCCAAAUGCAUCGUCACAUACCCUUUCGGAGGCCGACUAGGGACAUCACCUUUUCCAGGAACUACAAGAAGAACAUCGUUGGGGAUGUCGUAGAGGUUCCUAAGCUUAAAUAGAUCAGUGGGGGUGGUGGCACAAGCUAUGAAAUCAAUAGGGUAGGAAUCAGCCUCCACCCUAUGGCCAAGAUGCCUUUUUUUAGCAGGUCCGCUCGGUCCGAAACUACUCCCCUCACCAUCACCAGUUCCUUCAGGGAUCCCAACCCCACUAAAGCCGUGGUCCUCACCAGAGCCCGACGCAGGCCCACCUCUAUUCCCUACAAGCUCUAGUUCGGGGGAGGGAGAGACAACCAAGGGUCGUGGGUACUCAAGGGUAUCCUUACCAUGGGAAGGACCUACACUACUGGAGGGGCCUAAGAAAUCUGUGGGUAUUGACACGUUGAGGCCUGAAUCCCCUGAUUCUUCAUCACCCUCGUCAACAAUUAACUUUCUUUUCCGAUUUGACAUAUCAGAAUCCCAAAAGAAAAACAAAGAAAAGAAAGUUUAGGGUUGACAAGGUUUGACUAUCAAUUUCUACUCUUGACUCAUUUCACUCACAAGACCAGAAACUGGGGGACUGGUGUUAAGCGAAUAAAAGCACCAGGUCGGCCAUACUAUUAUUGCCACCCCGGCAUGGAUCACCUCAGCCCUGUGGUACGAGCAGAGCACAGGGGCACACACCAACUAGAUGUUCAUAUCGAACCGAUAUACAUUCCCCAGAAAAGCGGGAACACGAUCCCACAGAAUCACGGCAGUUGUGCUUUGCCCAGAACCGUUGAAGGGCACGGGAGAUCCCACGUUUGCCACAAUGCAACAAUCAGAGCCCCAUGAGGGGCGGCCACCACCCGAAAAAGGGGGGAUAGAGGGUAAGCGGAAAACGUGGGACAAACAGCGGCUAUAAAAGAAGAGGAAAUCGAUGAAGAAAAGGACACUGAAAAAUUGAGAGGGGAAAAUGCUGCCAAAUUACAACCAGACCAUUUUCUUACAAAUUUCGAACAAACUUCUUGAAUCCAAAUUACAUUGUUUUCCCGUAAACACCUUGUACUAACUUAGGCAUUGGAGGGUUUACGCCGGCAAAACCACCGGCGUCUCUUAUCCGUUUUUACUGAACGCAGGUCUAGUGAGAGAAAUGAGGGUGAUUCCAGCCUUAGCGGUUCGUGCAACAGUCGAUAUCUUAAACGUUGGUGAAAGAAUCUGGUCGGUCCAAGGACGAGCAGAUUUCGACAUCAACAAUGGCAACUCCACAAUGAUGAUAAUGAUAAUUUUGUGAUUCAGACACGUUGUUAGGAAUUCUGUAUUGGUUUUUCUCUCGCCUUCGAUGUCUACGAUGAAGCAUAUUAUGGCUUUUAAUCUGCAACUGCUGCAAAAUGGACUCACUAGCUAGCAAAUAAUAAUAUAUAGUGCUGUCAAAUUUAUAAAGAUUAUAUAUACACACACUUUCGUGUUCAAUGCACCGACACUAGAUGUAUAUUGGCAUUUAGAAAAAUUGGCAAUAACUAAUGACUUUCAAGAUUAAUUAAAUGACAAUAUUCAGUCUAUCAUAAAACAAGUUUUCAACAAGUGAAGAGGAGGUACUCUUUAUAAUUGGAUAAUUAAUGCAACCUUCAAUAUUUUCAACCAAAAAAAAAAUGAUAUUUGAUAUGUAUUCAACAUUAGGGAAAAACCUCCCAUAUCGAAGGUUUGCUUAAACGAUCAAAUAAAUCCACUUAGUUUCGUAAAUGGUUGUACAUAUCCUCUUUUUGACUAUUUAUUGGGUUAUGUUUGAGAGUUAGGACUAAGUGUGGGAUUAUACUAACUUUGAGAUUAAAUAUUAUUCUAUAUUUAGCAAUUUUCCUUAGAUUGGAUUAUGAGAGACUAAAUUCUAAGUUAGUUGUUAAAUAAAGGGGAUUGGCAAUACCAAUUUAUAAAUAGAUUUAAAUGGGAUUAGAAUAAGAGGAUAAAAUGUUCAUUUGUAAUAUUUCUUUCAUAUAUAACACCAUCUUUUAUUUAUUACUUCAAAUUUAAUUAAUGAAUUAAUUAUUUUAUUCAUGAUUUACUUGAAAUAUAUUUUUUAUUUUGUUUUUAUAUUCUAAUUAAAUUGGUACUUUAAUUUAAUAAUUUUUUACAUUAAUUGAUUGUACUAAAUUUAAUAAUCACCAAUGUGAUAUUAAAAUAUAAUUAUGAAAAUUAAUAAUACUAGUAAUUAAUUGAUUUUAUAUAUUAUUUGCUAAUUUUUUGAUAAAAUAAAAUAUAUAUCUAAAAUAUCUAAAUAAUCAAAAAGUUUUAUUAAUUUAUAUUUUUUAUUACAAUUAUGACUACCCAUAAGUAAUUUACUGUAUAUUUAAUGUUCUUAUUAAUUAUAUUUAAAUUAAUCUUAAUUAUUAUUCUUAAAUAUUCAUAAAUAGUUUUUUAUUUAAAUAUAAUUUAAUAUUGUCUAAUCCAAUGUUGUACUAAACAUAAGACAGUAGUGUAUAAUCCAACAUAACACUUAGUCCAAUUUAGUCUUGCAUGCCAAAUGUAAUCUUAUACACUUUGAUUACAACAAGCCAAUAAUUGACUUAAAUAAACUUCUAUAAAAUUAUAAGUUAAAAUUAAAAUAGUAUGAUAUAUAAAAUAAGAUAAAAUUUAUAAAUUAUUUUGAAUAUUAGAAAAAUGAUUUUAACAUUAUUAAUUUGUCAUAUUCUUUUACUACUAAUAAAAUUUGUUUGACAAAUUAAUAAUAUUAAAAUAAUUAUACCUAACAUUCACAAUAAUUUAUAAAAUUUAUAUAUUUUGUUAGCAAUUUUUUUAAUUAUGUCUAUAUUAAUAUAAAUCUUAAAGUCAAUUUUUGGAUUAAUAGAUUUUAGUAUAUAUAAUAAUAACUUAAUAUUAAAAAUAAUUUUCAUUACAUACGUUAUUCUAUUAAUUAUCUUAUUGUAAUAUUUUAUUUGUAUCAUAUGAUAUUUAUUAAUUAUUUUUUUAUCUUAUUAGUAUAUUUAUAUUUAUUUGUGUUGUUGUAAUCAAAGGGUAUAGUAACUAAAAAUGUGUUUAUGUGACUAUUUAACCUAAAGGGUCUUUGUGACCAUUUAAGUAAACCUUGGAAAUGUGUGACAAUAGUCAUUCUAAUGACUUUCAAGAUUGAAAGUGAGUCGGAUUAUCAAAUUAUGAAGCAUUAAUACGUAAUGUUUUAUGGUUAUUUUAAGGUUGAAGCUGGUUUAUUCAUUAAACAAGCUUUUAACAAGAGGAGAAAGUUCCCUUUAAAAUUUAAUAAUUAAUACAACCUUCAAUAACAAAAAAGUCAUAUAAUAAGGAUGAUGAUUCUUGUUCACUUGGAUACAUAUAUAUAACCUAUGAUGUGGUAAGCAAGGUAUCAAUUAUGUAUUUCUUGUAUCUGAAAAAAUGAAUAAUCCUUUAACGAAGGUUAUCAUCAAUUGCAGGUUUCUAGUUUGGCUGCUUAGUUUUAGGACUACGAAUUUUACAAUAUCAUAAUUAAAGGAAAGAAUAUAUGCGGUAGUCUUUGCCUGAUCUACUUUCUUCUUCUUAAUUAACCACUUAAAAGGAAAGAAUAUUGUAUACGCAGCGCACUAUAAUACUCUAAUUACCAAUUCUUUAUCUUAUAAUAUAAGUUCAUAGUGAUUAAUUUGCCCUUCUCCAGCAAAAAAACAAAUCCCAUUUCAGCACAUCUACAAGAGCCCUCAUUUCUCUUUGCUCCAGCCAAUUGAUAGCAGAAUCAUCACAGACACCUUGAGCUCCGUCAAUCAUCAUAGACAAUUGGUGACUAGUGGGAGCAUUACAAGGAAGGUACGACGAGUACAAACUGAUAGAUUUGUUUAUAUGAUUCGGCUGUAGUUUUUAUAUAUGGUUAAAUUAUGACAAUAAUCAAGAGAUAAUCAUGUACCUCAUUAGUUUCAUAAAUGUACAUACUAAUUUAUUCCCCUGCUUGCCAGAAUCAAACAUGUAGAAUAAGAUAAAUUUUAAGAUUUAAACUUUUCAAUUCAUUAAAAAUCUAGUGGGAUAUUAAUCGGUAAAACCACUUCGGGGUAGUACAAGAGGUUUGUGGUGCUAACCAAUUUAUGUGAGUGGAGAAAGAAUUAGGCUUUUUUAAUAAAAAUUAAUAAUCAUAAUAAUAAAAGGACAUAAAUUUCAAGAUUUAAAACUUUAGACUUCAUUAGAAGUAAGAGGGGGAUCGUAAAAAAUUUGAAUGUAACUUAUCGAUCGUGGAAUGGAUUUUUUUUUUUUUUUUGUUGCAGCUAUUUACACACCUUUGAACACAUGUUAGGGUGAGGGUAUUUCAAUAUUUUACCCACAUCUCAAUAAAAUAUUUUGAGGUGAUGCUACCACUAAACAACUCAUUAAACUCAUUUACUUAAUACACACACUUCUAAAAUUUAAAAUGCACAAUUUUAUUUUACAAACCCAUUAAUACCUAAAAUACCCUUAUUAAGUUAAAUUAUCACAAUUUCUCUUAUCAUUUUCUUUUCCCAUCAUUUCUCCGUUUCUUCACUCUUUUCUUCUUCAUUUUUGGAGCUUUACCCAUAGCUUUUUUAUUCCAAAUUCUCAAACUUUUUAUUUUAUUUUUUAAUAGCUAUUUUUCCCGUUGAUAUUUCAUGCGUUUAUAUGAUUCAGCUAUAGUUUUAACUUUUAUAUAUGGUCAAGUUAUAACAGUAAUCAAGAGAUAAUCAUGUUCAUCAUAAGUUGCAUAAAUGUACAUACUAAUUUAUUCCUCUACUUGCCAGAACCAUACAUAUAAAAUGAGAUACAUUUUAAGGUUUAAUCUUAGGGUUGGCAAUAAGCUCCGGAUCCAGCCCAGAUCCGCAACAAUCCGGAAGAUCCGGAUCUGGAAAAAUACGGAUCCGCAUGCUAAAAAAUGCGAAUCCAGAUCUUAAAAAUCACAAUCCGUGCGGAUCCGGAUGUAAGUGCAUCCGGAAAACCGAAUAUCUGGAUCCACAAUUUUUUAUAAUUAAAUUAUUUAUUUAAUUAAAUUUCAAUUGAAAAAUAGAUAAAUUAAAUUAUUUAUUUAAAUGUAUAAGCAUAAUUAACUCUCUAGUCUUCAUUAACUUUAAAAAAUAUGUUAAUAAACUAAUAAUAAUUAUAAUAAUUAGAGAAUAUUGUAAUAAAUCGGUUUACCUUACAUUUUUUUUAUGCUUGAUUUAUAUUGUGAAAUUAUUAUUUGUGAAUUUAUGGUGUUGUUGUAUGUUAUUUAUGUUGAAUUGAAGUUAAAUUGUUGAUUCUUAAAUUAUAAUUGAAUUUUAUUUAAUAUUAUUAUGUAAAUUAUUAAAUAAAAUUAUAUUUAAAUUUAUUAUUAUGCAUAUCCGAAUAUCCGGAAUAUCCGUCCGCAAUUUGUGCGGAUGUUAUCCGCAUCCGGAUUCUUAUUUUUUUUUGCGGAUCCGGAUGUCAAAAGUUUAAUCCGGAUCCAGAUGCACUAAGAUCCGGAUCCAGAUCCAAAUUUUGCCAUCCCUAGUUUAAAACUUUGCAAUUCGUUAAAAAUCUUGCGGGAUAUUAACCGAUAAAACCACUUAGGGAUAGUACAAGAGGUUUAUGAUUUCUCAACCCAUUUAUGUGGGUGGAGAGAGAAUCAAGUGUUUUUUUAAAUAAAGAAUAAUUAAUAAUUAAUAAUCAAAUUAAUAAAAAUAAAUAAAUUGUAAGGGGGAUCGUAAAAGUUUUGUAUGUAACAUAUCGGUAGUGGAAAGAAUUUUUUUUGGAGAGGCUAUUUGGCUUGGAACAUAUAUUACAAUACUCUCUUCAUCCACUUCUCAAUAAAAUAUUUUAUUAAAAAAAUUUCCUUAAUUGAAUUAUUGUUUUAGCCAUAUAUUAUGUUCGUUUAUCUCCCUAAAGUUUUUAUUCUUUCACCCUUUUUUCUCUUUUCCUCUGUGUCUCCCCAAUUUUUUUCCAGUCCUAUGGGGUUCUUAUUAAAGCUUCUAUUGAGUAAAAUCUAUAUUAAAAUUUCUUAUAAAAAAAAAAGAAAAAAAGAAUUCGUCUCUUUUAAAAAUUGUCUUUCCUUCCUUUACCCUUGAGUUACUAUUAGAUGUAUAAGCUCAAGAUGAGACUAGUAAUUGGAUUUCCAUUAAAAGUUUUAAUUUCAAAAAAUCAAAAGAUCACCAUACAAAUAUCAAAAGGUCACUAACUUAAUUAUACUGGUAAUAAUUAAGAUAAAUAAAAGACCUACUAUUUCUGUUUGAUGUUAUUAUGAUAAAGAAAGAAAAAAAAGAAAUAGCAAGUUGCUGUAGUUGCAACAAUUGAGGAUAUGCUAAUAAAAGUGUUACAGAGAUAGAUUUAAUUGAUAAAAAUAAGAUUUUAAUAAAAAGUUUUGAGAGAAACAAUUAAUAAAAACUAAUGAUAUUUAUUAAGGGUAUAUUAUGAAUAUUUGUGGCCUUUUUUGAGAUAAUUAAAUAAAUUUUAAGUUGUGAUAAUGUGUUUAUUACAUAAGUGGAUUUAUUCAGUAUUCUAGUGGAUUUAAGUAGUCUCAACUCUCAUAUUAUAAUAAAUUUUUAUAUUGCUACAAUUGCCCUAAUAUAGUGGACAGUAUUAUAUUGUACACAUAAGAAUACUCUAGCACCCAAUUAAAAUUUUUAGUAAAACAUAUAAGAACUCUAAAUGUAAAGAGAAUUCCGUCAAGGUAUUGCAGUAGUAUUUAAUGCUCUUGGCUAGUGUAAACUAUUGUGCCACAUGUAGUAUUUCGAUCCUGACAAGUGCAUUACAAAUAAUGACUCUUAUUUCAGGUCUUUUAGGUACUUUAGAGAUAUAUUAGCUAUGGAGCUAGUAUUAGGUCAUCACGUGCUUCUUUUAAUGAAAGAUGUGGUUCAUUUUUCCCUAUACCAAAGCAUUUUCUGUGGAAUAAUCGUGUCAAAUGCUCAUUUAUCAAGGGCACGUGUGGUGUUGUCAGUAUGAUAUGCUAACCCACGUGCACUUAUGGAAAAUCAAAUGAGAAAAAUGAAUUAAAAAAUACAAAAGCUAAUUAAUAAUGUUCGAGUUUGAGAUGAAGAAUAUUUAAUUUUAUGGAUAUAAAGAUAAGAAAUAUUUAAUGAGAACUAUCCUAAUAUUAAAAUACUAUUUCAAAUAAAUUUUAUUUGACGUAAUAGUAUGUCUCAUAAUAAGACUCAUCGAUGUCAGAAUCGUACAUGUAAAAUGAGAUAAAUUUUAAGGUUUAAAACUUUGCAAUUCAUUAAAAAAUCUAGUGCGAUUUUAAUUGGUAAAACCUCUUAGGGGUAGUACAAGAGGUUUAUAAUUCCCUAAUCCAUUUAUGUGGGUGGAGAGGGAAUUAAGAGUUUUUUAAUAAAGAAUUAAUAAAAAUUAAUAAUCAUGUUAAUAACUUAUUGGUAGUAGAAUGGAAUUUUAUUUGGAGAGGCAAUUUGGCUCAGAACAUAUAUUAAAAUGAGGAUAUUUGAACCCACCACAAUACUCUCUACAUCCACUUUUCAAUAAAAAAUUUAUUACAAAAUUUUCCUUAAUUAAAUUAUUAUUUUAGCCAAAUAUUACGUUCAUUUAUGUCCCUAAAGUUUUUAAUUUUUAACCCUUUUUUCUCUUUUCCUGUUUGUCUCCCCAAUUUGUUUCUAGUCCUAUGUGGUUCUUAUAUUUUAAAGCUUCUAGGAGUAAAAUCUCUACUAAAAUUGAUUAUCAAAAAAAAAAAUCUCUUUUAAAAUCUGCCUUUUCUUUAUCCCCAAGUUACUAUUAGAUGUAUAUGUUCACCGUGAAAGUUUAGAUCUCAAACCUUUUCUGUAUCUUAAAUGGAUUGUCGUGGAUAUGCCUAAGAUGAGCAUUUUCUUCCUCUUCACUUCAUCAUCUUUGAUAUAGUAAUUAUAAUUGAUUGAGGAGUGUUAAAACGCAUUGUGAUGAAUGAAUGCACAAGCUAUGUGAUUAAGACUGCAUUUAUCAGCUGGUGGGCGACCGCAAAUAUUAGGCAGGUUAUUCACAAUAGUGCUACUGAAGCUUUAUAUGGAAUAAGGAGACCAAGCCUCUAUAUGAUAAGAGUUGUAUGAAUACCAAAUGAAUUGUAAGAGGAUAUGGUUAAUUUAGAUUGCAAUUUAAGAAAGCUUGAAUUCUAAGAGCACAGAAAUGGGAUCAGUCUUGCUCAAGUGUAAACUCCGUCAGUUAGGAAGCUGUCCAUCAAAUGUAAAUAUUUAUGUGAUUGAGAGAAAUUUUGGACUUUUGUUGAAAACAAAAAUGCUGUUUGCAUUUGCUUGCCCCCAAGGAUAUAUGUUGUGCAAGCAUAUAUGUUGAGACCGGCAGAUGAAAUCACUAAACUUUUACAGUUGAUCUGAGGCUCCUCUAAAGAAGGAUUUGGAUUUUGGAAUUAAUUUGGGGAAAGGGUUUUUUUUGGGUAUAUGAGUGUAAGCGUUCCUUCAAUCACGUAGCUUUGUGCCAUUAACAUAAUGGCAAUUCCACAAUGGGGAUAAUGAUAAUUUUGUGAUUGGGAACUCUUUACUGGUUUUUCUUUCGCCAUCUGUGUCUAUGAUUAAGGUUGUUUAAAGUGUUAUGGCUUUUAAUCUAUAACCAUUGUGAAAUGGACUCACUAGCUGGCAAAUAAUAAAACAUAGUGCUGUCAAAUUUUGUAAGGAUUAUGCAUACACACUCUUUCGUCUUCAAUGCCCUAAAACUGGGUAACUACAUGUAUGAUUUUCAUUCAGAAAAACUGGCAAGAACUAAUGACUUUGCAGAUUAAAAAAUAAGUAGGAUUAUCAGAUUAUGUAGCAUUGUUAUGUAAUGUCUUGUGGUUUUUUUAAGGUUAAAGUUGGUUUGGAAAUUAAUUAAAAGACGAUAUUCAUUCUAUCAUGACGAGUUUUUAACAAGAGGAGAAGGUUCCUUUUAUAAUUUACUAAUUUAUACAGCCUUUAAUAUUAAAACAAAAUUUUAUAUAUUAAGGACGAUGAUUCUUGCUCACUUAGUAAGAUAUGUACAUAACAUAGGUUUGUUAAGCAAGGAAUCAAUUAUGUAUUUCUUGUAUCUGAAAAAAUGAAUCAUCCUUUAACGAGGGUUAUCAUCAAUUGCAGGUUUCUAGUUUGGUUGCUUGGUUUGAGGACUAUGAAUAUUACAUUGUCAUAACUAAAGGAAAGAAUAUAUGCCAUGGCCUUUGGCUGGUCUACUUUUUUCUUUUCAAUUAACCUCUUGCGGGGAAAGAAUAUUGUAUAACACAGCACACUAUAAUUACCAAUUCUUUAUCUUAUAAUAUAAGUUCAUAGUGAUUAAUUUGUCCGUCUUCAGCCAAAAAAAAAAAAAGUCCCAUUUCAGCACAAAUACAAAAGCUCUCAUUUUUCUUUGCUCCGGCCAUUUUAUAGCGGUGUCAUCACAGACACCUCAAGCUCUGCCGAAUCAUCAUAGACAAUUCGUGAUUGGUGGGAGCAAAUUGAAAGUGUUUAUAAAUAUAACUUAACAAUUCACUAGAUAGCUUGGAUUCAAAAUUAGAAAUAUCAAUCAAUAAAAUAGGAAGAAAAAAUAUUGGAGGUAAUUGGAAUUAGUCUCAAAUUUCAAUUAAAAAAAGCGUGCAGUUUCAUAUAUUAAUUCACUGAACCAUUUUUUUAUUUUUAUUUUUUUUUGCUGGAAAAACGAGUUUCCCAGAUCUGUCCAUUGUCAAAAUCAACUGAUGAACCACCACACUUCGUCGCAUCGCCAUUCACCAACAGCCCCAACUUUUGAGUCUCGUACCCUUGUUAAACAAAUACACAAUAAAACAGUGAGAUAACAAAUUAUAUGUUAGCUAAUUUAAACAAUAGUGUAAACUAGGAAUCGGAAACACUAAAUGAAGAACAGAAGAGGCAGAAACUGAAUCGAAAUAAAAAAAAUUGAAACCCGAGGCCUGCACAAACACAGUCUCCUUAAAACAGAUUUACCACCUUUACGGAGUGCUUAAGGUUUGCUAGGUAUAUGUUUCCCAGGAUGCAACGGGUACGAUUUUCCAGUCAAGCACAGGCUGGAAAUUCCGACGAACCACAACCAGCGAACUCGAUCAAAGAAAAACGAAGAAGGAUGAAGGGAAAACAAGUGUGGUUUGUGCUCGUUUUUGCAAGUAGAAAAAACAGAAGUGAAGGUGCCUUUUUAUACUCAAGGGAGGAUGUAACAGCUUUUGUAUUGAAUUUUCGAAUUCAAUACAUUUUAAUUAUUUUGUUAUAACAGCCAAAUCAAUUUAAUAAAUUGAUUUCAAAAUUGAAUUCAAACAAAACGUGAAUAACAGCUAAAUAAUUGUAAAAGCUGUUACCAAUGCUUUGAAUUCACAUGAACUGUUACAAUAAAAAAUUCAAAAGGAAUUAAAAACGUGCCUAGCUUGCAUGGAUGAUUUUGGGCUGACAUUCGUGUACGCAGGACGCGCACGAGUUCAACUAAAUCGGGCUUGGAUUCGCACCCCCCCCUGCGCACGCGCGUGUGGAGAGAGCCUCUAUCCUCAUAAUUCUUACUCAUGCAUGGUUAAGUGUUUAUAUUUAAACACUAAUUCCUAGGCUUCUUUUUCCCAUGUGGGAUAAGACUCAUUUCCUUUUAAAUUUCCAACUUCAAGGGUGAACUUUGAGAGACAAUUUCUCAUUCACCCAAGCACCAUUUUGAGAAAAUAAAAUUAUACUAUUGAAGUAUUAACGGAGUAGAAUCCGAACCUCACAAUAUUUUCCACUUUCGUUAAGUGGGACCCACUCAAAAUGUGCUCUCAAAAUAGCAUGUUAUGCUAUUUUUCCAACAACCCUUACUUCAAUAAUCCAGACCCAAGAUGUCAUCAAUACCCAAACCCUCAAUUUCAUCUUCUUCUUCUUUUUUUAAUUGACCCAAGAUCUGCCAAAUAUUAUGUUAAUUAAUCUCCCUAAGGCUUUUAUUUUUUUCACCCUUUUUUCUCUUUUCCUCUCCGUCUCCCCAAUUUUUUUUCUAGUCCUGUGUGGUUCUUAUACUUUAAGGUUUCUAUUGGAGUAAAAUCUCUAUUCAAAUUGCUUAUCCAAUUUUUUUUUUCUUUUAAAAUUUGCCUUUCCUUUACCCUCGAGUCACUAUUAGAUGCAUAUGCUUGUGAUGAAACUUUAGUAAUUGGAUUUCUAUUAAAUAUUUUAAUUUAAAAAAAUGAGAAGAUCACUAUAAAAAUAUCAAAAGAUCACCAACUUAAUUAUAGCAAUAAUCAAGGGAAUUAAAAGACUUACUAUUUCUGUUUGAACUUAUUAUUAUAAAGAAAGAAAGGGAAAAAAAAAGUCGCUGCAACUACAUCAAUUGAGGACAUGCUAUGAAAAGUAUCAUAGAAAGUAGUGAGAGAAACAACUAAUGAAAAUUAAUGAUACUUAUUGAGGGUAUAUUGGGAAUGUUUGUGGGUUUUUUGAAUGAAAAAAUAAAAUUUUAAGUUGUGAUAAUGUGUUUAUUAUAUAAAUGGGUUUAUUCAGCAUUACAAUGGGUUUAAAUGGCUUUAUCCUUCAUAUUAUAAUAAAUUUUUAUAUUACUAUAAUAGCCGUAAUAUAGAGGACAAUGUAAUGAAAAUAUUGUUACUGUUAUACUUAUUAAAGAAACAAUAUUAUCUUGUACAGACAAGAACACUCCAGUGCUCAAGUGUAAAAGUUUUAGUAAAACGUAUAAGAACUCUUAAGUGUAAACAAAAUUUCAUCAAGGUGCUGUAAUAUAAUCUAAUGCUUUUUGGUAGUGUAAACUAUGUGUGCCACGUGUAGUAUUUCAAUCUUCACAAGUGGCAUUGUAAAUAAUGGCUCUUAUUUCAGUUCCUCGUAGGCACUCUAGUAUUUGGUCAUCACGUGCUUCUUUUAAUGAAACAUCUGGUUCAUUUUAUCCUUAUAUGAGAGCAUUUUGUGCGGAAUAACCAUGUCAAAUGCUCAUUUAUCAAGGACACGUGUUGUGUUCUCAGAACAUAGUAAAAAUAUGAUACGCUAACCCAUGUACAUUUAUGGAAAAUCAAAUGAAAACAAAGAACUAAAAAAAAGUACAACGGCUAAUUAAUAAUGUUUGAGUUUGAGAUGAUUAAUAUUUAAUUUUAUGGUUGUAAAGAUAAGAAUAAAAGUACGGCUAGUGAGGACUAUCCUCAUAUUAUAACACUAUUUAAAAUAAAUUUUGUUAUAAAAAAUUUUAUUCAAUUAGGUAUAUAUUUUAGGUACAAACUCAGCUAUUUGACAUAAUAGUAUGUCUCAUAAUAGGACUAACAUUUGGUCAAAUCAACCUAUUUCAAUAAGAUCCAUCGAAAUUAAUAUUUAAAAGAUUUAUCAUCUCAUUAUACAAUACACAACUUUGCCAUCUAGUAGAGAAUGAUUGGUUGGCACACCAUAGUUUACAUAAAUAUUUCUAAUAUUUGAAUCAUUUGUUAGGAAAUUUUAAUCCUACCAAUAUCUUGUAAGUAAACAUAUCAAAUAAAUAGUAAAUAGAUAAUAUAUAGAGAAUAAAACCAAUCAUACAACACAAUAAUUUACCCGAGAAAAAUUCCUACACUAGAGAAAAACCACGGCCGCCAAAGAUGACGAAAGAAAAUCCACUAUGUAAAGAUCAUUACAAUCACUCUAGUAUUUUCUUCACUUACAAAACCCCAAUAACAAAUAAUCUCUCAUUCUAGAAACUGUCUACUUGUAUAGAACUAAUUAUUGCAAACAAGUGAAUCUAACCUUCUUAUAUAUUGUGAUUGUUUCAUAUAAGAGAAAUAUUUAUUUCCUUAUAUAAUUUGUAUUCCUCCUUUAAUAAAUUCUUUGGAAUUACUUAUUCCUUAAACAUGAACCCCCCAAACAAAAAAAUUACUAGGAAAUAUUUUAAUUUAGGAUUUACAAAUCCUCAUUGAAAAAGGAGAUAUGUUACUUCAAAAUCUCCACUUUGGCGAGUUUUUUAAUUAAACGACAAAAUAUGAUCCGCCAUACAUCUAUGCAACCAUGUCGUCUCCACCUUUUUUAGUAUACUAAAACCACACUGACAUUGGACUAAUGAGAAUCACUCCACCAUGAGUAAAAUCUUGUCCUCUAUCCAGCAACCAUAAUUUUCUACAUCGAGAAUCAUCAUACUUCACAUUAUCCAGAGUACACAUGUUUGGCAUAUGUCGAUCACAUUUCCGAAGUUACCCACUCUCAUGUUUGGCUUCUUUGAGAGUCCUCAACGAUCAAGAUAAAAAGUCCACCACAUACCUUGCAUAAAUACUAAACUACAUGUUGUGUGCACAUCUUGUGGACCCAUUAGCAAUAACACAUCCUCUUCCACGACACACCAAUAGAUGAGAUAAUUAGUAUCUCCUUCUAUUAAUUUACAGCUACUUUCCAAAUUUGCUAUAUUCUAACAAUCUCUUUUAAGAUGUUUUGAUUACCUACACUCCUCCAGGGGUUUCUACUAGUGGAAUAGGCCUGACAUUGCUCUUUGCUUUACUUGUAUAGACAGAUUGAAUCAGUAUGUUAUUGACUUGAGCUUCCCAAAAGCCAAAAUUAAUUAUUCCGUCAAAUUUUUCUAUUUCUAUCUUCAUAAGUUUUGAAAACCUCCUUGCUGACGUAUUUGCUCUACAUUGCAGCCUUAGCUCUAUUAUCACCUGCUAAGAAAUAAUUAAUCUCACCUAAGAUUUGCAAGAAAAAAUAUGAAAUAAAUAGUAAAUAGAAAAUAGGUGGAGAAUAAAGCUAAUAAAAUAAUACAAAAAUUUACAUGAAAAAUUUCUAUAUUGGAGAAAAAUUAUAAUAGCUAAGGACGAUAAGAGAAAAAUUUAUUAUGUAAAAAUUAUUAUAAUUACUCUAGGGUUUUUCUCACACCUAAAACACCAAAAGCACCUAAUUUUAAUAGAACUACUUUUCUCUCACACUGAAAACUAUUUACUUAUAGAUAACUGAUUGUUGAAUUAUGCAGAGAAGUAAACUCAAUCUCUAUAUAUAUAUGUAGUGAUUAUUUCAUAUAGAAGUUGCAUUCUUUUCCUUAUAUGAUUUGUAUUCCUCCUUGAAUAAGUUAAGUUCUAAAGAGAAAAUUACUUAUUUCUUAAAUAUGAAUUAUCUUCAAUAAGAAAACUGAAAAGUGUAGAAAAUUCCUAAUUUAAGACUUAAAAAUCUUAUUUGAAAAAAGAGACAUCUCCCAAUAUCUUCAAAUCCUCCUUACAAUGCCACCAAUCUCUUUUGUGACUAGCCCAGUUGAAACUUUUAAUGGAUGGGCUGUAAUUGCGAAUAUCCAAAUAAAACAAAUUUCCAUAGGUAUAUUGGUAGAUUGAAUGACAACUAACAACACAUGAUUUGAUUAACUUACUUCCAAAAAAAAAGAAAAAAAAGAUACAAUGGAUGAACAUUAGACUCUUGUGCCAACUCAUGGAAUUCAUCAAUAAGGCCUUGGCUGAUCCACCUCAUGACUAGUAGAGUUCAAACCCCCGCUAAAUAGUAAAAAAAUAUUUGGAUUAUUAAUUACUCUUUCUUAAGUCUAUUUAAACUUAACUUUGAGAAUUAUGAACGUCUACACUAUAAUUAAAACAAUACAAGCCCACCCGUUUGUAUUUAAAAUUUUGUUUGAAUUUAUUCACGAGCAACAAGAAUAGUAUAAAUGGAAAAAAAAACCAUCAAAUAAUAUCCCAUGACUCUGUUUCUUCAAUUUCAGGAACAAUGGUGGAAUCAUAUUUUCCGAUUGAAAAACUUUUGGAAAAAUUAGGGAGCUUUGCUUAUGAAGAACUUUUAUUGUUCUGCGGUGUCAAAAAUGACUUACAAAAGUUAAAGGAGACGUUAACCACUGUCAAAAGUGUGGUUUUGGAUGCUGAGGAAAAGCAAAUCCAUAAUCACCGGUUAAGCGAUUGGCUGGGAAAACUUAAGGAUGCUUGUUAUGAUGCAGAAGAUGUGUUGGAUGAAUUUGAGGUGGAAGAUCUACGAAGGCAAGUCAUGAAGCAAAGAAGCAUCGGAAGAAAGUUUCGUAACUUUUUUGGAUGCUCAAAUCCGAUAGCUUUUCGUUUUAGAAUGGGUCAUCAAAUCAAGAAAAUUCGAGAGAGGUUUGAUGAGAUUGCAAAAUUGAGGGGUGAGUUUAAUCUCAUUGAACGACUUGACGAUCAUCGGCGAGUUGUGCACAAAGAAAGGGAAUCCACUCACUCCUUUGUGCUUUCAUCAGAUAUUAUUGGAAGAGAUAAAGAUAGAGAAAAGAUUAUUGAACUAUUGAUGCAAGCAAGUUCUGGCGAAAGUGAAACUCUGUCUGUUAUUCCUAUUGUGGGAAUUGGAGGUCUGGGCAAAACUGCUCUUGCACAGUUGGUGUUCAAUGACCAAAGGGUAGAAGAGCAUUUUGAGUUGAAAAUCUGGAUGCGUGUUUUUGAGGAUUUUGGUGGGAGACAAAUUAUGAGAGAGAUUAUGGAGUCGAUCAUUGUACAAAUUAUGAGAAAGUGUGUGUUCCUAGGUGACUUGAAUACACAACAAUUGCAACGAAUCUUGCGAGAUCAUUUGAAUAGUAAGAGAUGUUGGGAAAAUAUGCUCUUUAAAAGCAUAUGUGUUUAUUUGAAUGUAAUAAACUAUUUUUCUGAUCAAUAAAAUAAAUGAGGUAUUUUAUUCAAAUAUCUUGAUUGCAUUAAUAUUUGUAUUAAAGUGGGCACGAGGGGAGGUACUAUUGGCUACAACUUACAAGGUCUACCAUUCGAGGAUUGCUUGUCUUUGUUUAUGAAAUGUGCAUUUAAAGAAGAGCGAGAUAAACAUCCAAACCUCAUAAAAAUCGGGGAAGAAAUUGUGAAGAAAUGUGGGGGAAUUCCUCUGGCAGUCAGAGCACUAGGAAGUCUAUUAUGUGGCAAAACAGAUAAACGUAAUUGGGAAUAUGUGAGGGAUAUUGAGAUAUGGCAGUUAGAGCAAAUGGACACUGGCAUUUUACGUGCUCUGAGGUUAAGCUACGAUCAAUUGCCACCUCACCUGAAACAAUGUGUUGCUUAUUGUUCAAUCUUUCCGAAGGGUUAUCAAUUUUAUGGUGAUUCUUUGGUUCAAUUUUGGAUGGCUCAUGGUCUUCUCCAAUCGCAUAAUAAGAAAGAAGAGUUAGAUGAUAUUGGUAU